CCUGACUAAAAAAUAAAAAAUAGAGAUUAAAUAAAUGAAAAGUCCAUCAGUCCAAAUAUUACAAAACAGGUCAAAACAAUUACAAUGGCCCAAUACGAGCCCAAAUAAACCUAGACUCCAAAUUGCAUCGGCCCAAACGGCCCAAAAUGCUUUAGAAACAGAAACCCUAGGGUUUCUACUUCUUGCGCCGCAGCCAGGCCCCAACCCGCAGCGCCGUACGCUUCCACGCACGACCUCUGUACGCCCCAGCACCGCUCGUACCUCCACGUCCUCCCUCGUAUCUGCAUGAAGACAAAAACAGCACAACAAAACAGCAAGCAAAGGGAGACGAGCGAGAUUUUUGUAUUUUUCUCUAUUUCUUUUUUCGUUCGGCUAUAAAGCCAUGUGGACUUUGAUUGUAUAGGGGGGAUUUUUUUUACGAACGCAUACAUACUUUUAAACAUAUAUUCAGAAAGAUUAAAGGUGAUUUAUUCAUCAACUUUGGCAUUAUUUUUUUGUUUUUAUUUCUUCCUUUAUUGUGAAUCUACCACGCAAAUAUAAAAAAAGGGGGAAAGGGUUUUCUUACCGGAUUCGGGGUCGAUUUAUUCAUUGUUCGCUUCUCUGGUCCAAGGGUUAUUAGAUCCUUGGGGAUCUAAUUAAAAUCGAGUCAUUAGUGGAGGCGCAUUCGGCGCCGAUGAAGCCCGCUGAUGGACUGUGAGAAAAAGGGGUUUGUGGAAUAUUUUCAAAGUUUUUUUUUUGAGAGAAUCGGCCAAAUGAAUGUUUUAGGGCAAAGUUUUAGUUUAUAUAUAUGUUUAAAAUUGCGUCGUUUAUGCCUGAAGUGUUGGCGUUGAAACGGCGUCGUUUCACGAUGAAACCCGAUGACCCGACCCAUGCACGGUUAGACCCGCGUGUUUUGGUCUUUGAGGGUUAUUUCGCGAAUGGUCCUUCCCUUUUGUGCUAUCAUUUGAAUAGACCCUAUUUGUAUUUUCUUUUUUUCUUAAUAUUGCCCUCAGAUUUGCAUGUUGUUUCAAAUUAGUCCGCGCCUAAGCGUCACGUUUUGGGGACUCGGGACAUUUUCAUUUUUGGUCCCUGUUUGUUUGUGCGUAUUUAAUUCUAGUCCUUAAUUCUGUUUUGAUAAUUGGAUUUAUCUAUAAAUUAUCCUUUUGAUUCUGUUUUUUGUUUCAAUUGAGUUUUUUUAUUAUUAUUAUGUGACUCUUUACUCUCUUUAAUUUAUUUAUUAUUCAUUUAUCAAAAAAAAAUUAUUUUAAUAUAUUAUUUUGAGUCAUUUCAUUGAUGUUUUCAUUAGAUUAGUUCAUUAUCUUUAUGCUUUUAUGCGAAUACAUUUUUAAAAUUGUCUAUUUUGUAACUUGUCUAUUUCAAAAUUCACUUUUAUAUAAUUCUAAUUUUUAUAUGAUAUUUAUUUUCAUACAUUGAUAUUUAUGUAAUUUAUAUUAAAUUACUUAUUCAAAUUCCCUUUCAAACUUGUCUAUACGUUUUCUUUCUUCAACUCUAUCUAUAUAUAUACAUAAUUUAUUCCUUUAAAGACCCAAAUUCUAAUAUAUAUAUAUGUACUUGUUUAUUUCAAACCAUUUCAUAAAUUAUUAUUUUUUUAUAUACAUUAUUUAUAUUAAGUUUAUCAUUUCGUAUAUAUUAUUUAUUUAGAUUGAUAUAUUUUAUUUGAUAUAUUACUUACCUUAAUUUUCUUCUUUUAAUAUUUGUUUUAAAAUCCAUUUAUAUAUUAUUUUACUUAUUUUAUCUUUUUGAUCUAGUUCAAACUUUCAUGUUUAUUACUUAUUUUAAAAUUGCAUAUAUAAGUUAAUUUUCAAUUAUUGUGUGUAUUAUAAUUUCAAAUGUUUUAUUUUUUCACAAUUAUUGAUUUCAAACUUAUUCAUCAUUGUUUCAAAACUUGUCGCAUUUCGUUUGUAUUUAUUGGCUUUUUAUUUCAUCCAAAAUUGAUUCUUUGAUUCGUAAGUCGUUGGAUGUUAACGUUAGUAUUUGCAUAACGUAUGAUGAGAACUUAUUGCUAUUGCGUGUAUCUUAAUUUGCUCUUUUCUUAUUUUCAUAGCAUUGUAAUUUAUUUUUAUAAUAUUUCAUCUAUGUAUAUAUUUCAUGUUUGUAACUUUGCUUUUUCUACAUUAUUGCAUCGUGAUUCAAACUUCAAUGUUUUGAUUGAUAUUGGUCGUCUCAGUUUUAUUUCAAGUAAAUCAAGUAAAGGCGUUUUAAGCUGGUUUUACAAAUGUUCGUUUGAAAAUCUCCCAAAGCAAAGGCAAAGUUUGAUGUUUGAAAAUUCGAGGAAUCAUGCCCUAUCGUGCUGGGUUUCAAUUUCCCGUUCAUUCAAGAUAAUCGAAUAUUCCUUUAGAAUUUCACUCGUGUUUUUCAAAUUCUGAAACAAGGCAAUGUUCAAUGUUUGGAAAUUCGGGGAGUCGUGCCCUAUCGUGCUGGGUUUCGAUUUCCGGUUUGUUCAAAAUAAUUGAAUAUUCCUUAAGAAUUUCAUUCGUGUUUUAUAAAUUCUAAAGCAAGACAAUGUCCAGUGUUUGGAAAUUCGAGGAAUCGUACCCUACCUGCAAGGUUUCGGUUUUUCAUUGGACUAAAUAAUUGGGCAUACUUUUGUAAUUUUCAACGUAUAAAAUUUUGGAAGUCAAAAAUUUAUCGUGCUUUCGAUGGUAUAAAGGAUCGUGUCCUAUCGUGCUGGAUGUGAUGCUGUAUACCUUUGAAACAAGAUAACUCUAACGAUCAACUUAAGCCAUUCAAAUAUUUUAAAAAGAACCCUAUUUCAAAAAUAGCUAUAAAUCUUAGACAUAAGGACAAUUCAAUUCGGUACCAAUUUUGGGCGUAGUGAAUGUGCUAAUCCUUCCUCAUACGUAACUGACUUUCAGACUCCUUUUCUCGAAUUUCGUAGGCCAAAAUUGAUUUAAAUGGAAUAAAAUAUUUUAUUAAGGUGAUCCAAUCACACCAAAAUAAAAGAUUGGUGGCGACUCCACGUGUGGUUUUCAAAAAGUCGAUCCCCAUUUUUUCUUAAAAUAAAAAUGGUUUUGACAGUAAAAAUAUUAUAUUCUGAAAUUUCUGAAAUUUUUAUUUGUUUUCAUUUUCAAAAUUCUGAGCACUUUAAUGACAUGAAAUCGACUCCCACUUCAAUCUUUAAUUUUUGGUAAUAGAAAAUUCUGGGAAAGUGUUCGAUAAGGGUCAAAACUCAAAAGUAGUAUCAAAGAAAUUGAUUAUUUGUAAAAAGAAAUGGCCUGCGAGAAAGCCCGACAUAUUUCAUAUUUGAGAUAGAGUACAAUUUUUAGAUGGUACAAGUCCUUGUAUUUUUUGUUAAUUUAAAAUUUAAUCAUUGUAAUUUUAUUUUUAUAAAUUUAGACCUUUUACUUUUUGGAUUUUAAAUUUCAAGUCAAUUUGUUAAUAUUGUUAAUUUAUUUUAUUAAAUUCAGGUUCAUUACAACAUUAUUUUUCAGUAACAUGACUACCAAGAGAGUAUUUAUUUCAUUCCAAAAUGUCAUACCAACAAAGUUAAUGAAAUAUAUUUAACGAUAACCUGAAUUUUGAAAUCUAAAAAGUAAAUAAAUUAAAUUCCUAAAAAUAAAAGCACAAAGAUUAAAUUUCAAAUUUAUAAAGAGUACAAAGAUGGUAAAAGCACCAUGAAGGCCCCUAUACUAGGAGUCAAAUUGCAAUUUGCCCUCUCUACUCAAAAAAUAAACAAUUUAGUCCCUACAUGUUAGAUCAAAAAGCAAUUUGGUUAUUCUGUUAAAAAUUUCAAUCAAUUUUUACUAUUAAAAAUUGACCAUUGUGCAUAAACAUUAGAUACAUGUGGCUUGCUAUAUGUCACCACUUUAUUUUUCCAUCAACCAUACUAGUUUUUAACAGUGCAAAAGGAAGAAAUUUUUAAUGGAAAUAAUUGAUUUACUCUUUAAUUUAAGUAUUUUUAAACAAAUAAAUCAAACCACUCGUAAUACAAACAUCACCAUAAAACUUUUACGGCAUAAAGAAAUUUUAAACUUUUGAGAUUGAUUUGUAACUUUGUAAAUUUUGUGGUCUAUUUGUAACACCCUUAACCCGUAUCCGUCGCCGGAAUAGGGAUUCAGAGUAUUACCAAAAUUUACAGAUCAUUUAAUAGAAAUUUCACUUGUAACAACAUAUAAAAGAUAAUCACGCUUUUACAUAUCAUGAUAGAUAUAAUUCUUUUGCUGUUUCAUUAUAAACAUUUAUUAUUCAUUUCAUUAUAUCAAUUUUUUCACGUACCAUCAUUUCCAUAUAAUUCAGGUAUAUACCGGUGAUAAUUCAUUUCAAACUCAUAUUAUCUCAUAUCAAAACCUUACCCCUUGAAUCAUUUAAAUAUCAAUGGGUACACUUAAUUCAGAUCAAUAUCAAUAAUAACCAUAAGUCUACCAAUACUAAUUUCAUAUGUCACUUAUCAAUCUUUGUCAAAUUAGAGAACGUCUUACGAAUUUGAGUCUGUCAUUUGCUCAGUGCCACGAUUCACCACUCGGUAUGGUUUUCCUCAUUGAAAUACCAUACCUACAUUUUAUACUCGGUAUGGAAAAUACCAUACCUACGUUUCACAACUCGGUAUGGGAAAUGCCAUACCUACAUUUCUUAACUCAGUAUGGAUAAUACCAUACCUAUAUUUCUCAACUCGGUAUGGAUGAUACCAUACUUACAUUUCACAACUCGGUAUGGAUAAUACCAUACCUACAUUUCGCACUUUGCCAUGGAUCAACCAUUGUCUUUUCCAUCAAUUCAUCUUGUCACUGAAAGUACUCAAUUUGAUCGUUUAUUCAAUUUUCACGCUCUUACAUUAUUCACGAUUUUAUCAUCAAUUCAUAUGAAAUAACACAUCAUGAAAUUCAUAAAAUUAACAAACGGUCACUAAAAUUUAGUUAUACAAACUCACUAGUACAAUUUUUGUAUUAUAACGAUAAUCAUAAUUUCAUAUUAAAUAUUCCAAAUAAAACAUUAUAUCCUUUCUAAUUCAACAUUUAUCGAUUAUAAUCGGGCACGUGAUCAAUUUAUACACAAGUCAUUCAUAUAUAAAUGUAUAUUUUCCUCCUGCUCCUCUCCAUCCACAUCCUUAGUAUAAACAACACACUUAUAGGUAACAUUAUCCAUAAUUUUCACUAUCUACUUAUGUGAAUAUUCACGCUGUCCAUCAGUGUUAUAGUUACUAAAUUAUUUUUAUCUUGAGCUACAGAAUUCCAAAUUAAGAUCCAUAAAUUUUCCCAGAAACUAGACUCAUAUGUCUUCUUACCAUAAAAAUUUCAUAAUUUUUGGUUUAGCCAAUUAGUACAGUUUAUUCAUUUAAGUUUCCCCUGUUUCACUAUCAAACAGUUCUGAUCUCUCUUCACUAAAAAUUAAUUAUAUCACAGUAUAGAACUCGGAUAAUGUUCCUGUUGAUUUCUAUUGAAAAUAGACUCAUUAAAGAUUCUAAGCAUAUAAAUUUGAGCCUCUAAUUAAUUUUCUCCAAUUUUUGGUGAUUUUCCAAUUUUAAAACAAGGGAAUCCGAAUUCAUUCUGACCUUGUCUCACAAAAUUCAUUAUAGCUCAUAAUUUACAAUUCAAUUGCUUACACCGUUUCUUCUAUGAGAAACUAGACUCAAUAAGCUUUAGUUUCAUAUAUUAUUCAUCCUCUAAUUCGAUUUUUACAAUUUAUGGUGAUUUUGCAAAAUUAGCCUACUGCUGCUGUCCAAAACUGUUUUAGUUCAAGAUGUUUAUUACCAUUUUUCCUCUAAAUUUCACAGGUCAUACAAUUCAGUCCUUGCUCAAUUAGCCCAUCUAAUAAGCUAAUUUUUCUCAAUUAACAUUUUAUUCCAUCAUUCUAAACUAUUACACAACCUUUGAAAAUUAGAAUUUUAACACUAAACCUUAAUUCACAACUUUCUCAUAAUUAGGUCUUAAAAUCAAUUUCUAUUGAAAUUACUUGAUAAAAUCAUCAAACAAUAAAAUCAAAGCUUCAAACUCAUUUUAAUUCAUCAUAAACAGCCAACACUUGUCAAUGAUAACUUUUAAUUUUGUCCAUAAAAUAAAAAACUAAUGAAUUAAACACUUGGACUUAAUUGUAAAAGUCACAAAAACAUAAAAAUCUCAAAGAAAAGGGCAAGAAUUCAACUCACAUAUGUCAAAGUAUGAAAAACCAGCAGCUUUCAGACCUCCCAUGGCGUUUUUGCUGAAGAAAAAUGAUGAUAUCUCCAGAUUUUUCAAUUUUGUCUUGUUUUCUAUGUUUAAUUUGCAAAAUUUCCCAUUUUGCCCUUGUUUCUCCUUGUUUUUUUGCUGAUUUUCUUACCCAACCGUCCAGCCCAUACAAAUUGGGUCCAAUUUCCUUUUAAAUCCCUCCUUUUUAAUCACUUAAACUAUUUAAUCAUAAUUGAAUAAAUUUCGCACUAUUUUCAAUUUAGUCCUUUUUAAUUAAUUGACUAACCAAACGUUAAAAUUUUCUAACGAAACUUUAAUACUAACUUAAUAACACUCCAUAAAUAUUUAUAAAAAUAUUUACGGCUCGGUUUAUGAAUCCAAGGUCUCGAUACCUCGUUUUCAACCCAAUUUACCUGAUUAAUUCUUUUAAAAUCGCAAAAUUCAUUAAUUAAAAAUAAUUCUUUUAGGCUCGCGCUUGGCCUAUAAUUAUUAUUUAUUAAAAUUUCUAAACUUACUCGUUGGAUUUAGUGAUCUCGAAUCACUGUUUCCGACACCACUGAAAAAUUUGGUUGUUACACUAUUUCUCCCACAAGACCUUUUUCCCAAUUCUUUUAUUUGCAAAACGGGUGAUCCUGUAACACCCCUAACCCGUAUCCGUCGUCGAAACAGGAUUUCAAAACAUUACUAGAAUUUGCAAAUCACCUAAAAAAAUUCAAUUAAAUACUUAUUGAUUCAAUUCAUCAUAUAAAUAAAUAUAUUACCAUUCAAUCAACAGAUCGGCACUUGUAUAAGCAUCAAACAGCAACAUUGUUAGUAUACUAGUACAUAUUUCAUAUAAAUUCAACAUUGAUAUACUUAUUUUCUCGACAUGUCACACUUGAGUUUAAUAAUUGUCUUUACUUACUUAAUUUCCUUGUAUCAACAUAUCAAAGAUAAUCAUAUAUGUACAUGUCACGAAACAUAUCAUUCUCUUACUGUUUCUUCAUAAGUAUAUAUAAUUCAUUUCAUUAUAUCAAUAUUUCAUGCUCCAUCAUUUCCAUAUAUUUUAUGUAUAUUUAUUCCGGUAAUAGCUUAUAUCAAACUUAACAUAAAUUAUAUUCCAUGUACUUAUACUUAUUUCAUUUAUCUAUCUUCAUAAUUAUUUCACACAACUAUUUUGUGAUACAUAUGACCAGUUCUUGUAAACAUUUCACACAACCAUUUUAUAUAACCAUUCGUCAUCUGAUACAUAUUACCUGAAUAUCAAUUGUUCAACAGAUGUCAUAGCGUCUCCCAUCCACGGUCUUAUUUAUCUUUGACAUGAUGCCAUAGUGUCUUUGAAUUAUGGUCUUACUCAUUUUCUGUCAUGUUGCCAUGGUAUCUUUCAGCCAUGGUCUUGUUCAUUUCACGUCAUGUUAUCAUGGUAUCUUUCUGUAACAACCAAAUUUUUCAGUGGUGUCGGAAACAGUGAUUCGAGAUCACUAAAUCCGACGAGUAAGUUUAGAAAUUUUAACAAAUAAUAAUUAUAGGCCAAGCGCGAACUUAAAAGAAUUAUUUUUAAUUAGUGAAUCUUGCGAUUUUAAAAGAAUUAAUCAGGUAAAUUUGGUUGAAAACAAGGUAUCGAGACCUCGAAUUUAUAAACUGAGCCAUAAAUAUUUUUAUAAAUAUUUAUGGAGUGUUAUUAAGUUAGUAUUAAAGUUUCGUUAGAAAAUUUUAACGUUUGGUUAGUCAAUUAAUUAAAAAGUACUAAAUUGAAAAUAGUGCAAAAUUUAUUAAAUUGUGAUUAAAUAGUUUAAGUGAUUAAAAAGGAGGGAUUUAAAAGGAAAUUGGACCCAAAUUGUAUGGGCUGGACUAUUGGGCAAGAAAAUCAGCAAAAAAGGCAAGGAGAAACAAGGGCAAAAUGGGAAAUUUUGCAAAUUAAACAUAUAAAACAAGACAAAUUUGAAAAAUCUAGAGAUAUCAUCAUUUUCUUCAGCAAAAACGCCAUGGGAGGUCUGAAAGCUGCUAGUUUUCAUACUUUGACAUACGUGAGUUCAAUUCUUGCCCUUUUCUUUGAGAUUUUUAUGUUUUUGUGACUUUUACAAUUAGGUCCAAGUGUUUAAUUCAUUAAUUUUUUAUUUUAUGAACAAAAUUAAAAGCUAUCAUUGAUAAGUGUUAGCUGUUUAUGAUGAAAUAAAAUGAAUUUGAAGCUUUGAUUUUGUUGUUUGAUGAUUUUAUCAAGUAAUUUCAAUAGAACUUGAUUUUAGGACCUAAUUGUGAAAAAGUUGUGAAUUAAGGUUUAGUGUUAAAAUUCUGAUUUUCAAAGGUUGUGUAAUAGUUUAGAAUGAUGGAAUAAAAUGUUAAUUGAGAAAAAUUAGCUUAAUAGAUGGGCUAAUUGAGCAAGGACUGAAUUGUAUGACCUGUGAAAUUUAGAGGAAAAAUGGUAAUAAACAUCUUGAACUAAAACAAUAUUGGACAGCAGCAGUAGACUAACUUUGAAAAAUCACCAUAAAUUGUAUAAAUCGAAUUAGAAGAUGAAUAAAAUAUUAAAUUAAAGCUUAUUGAGUCUAGUUUUUCAUAGAAGAAACUGUGUAAGCAAUGGAUUUGUAAAUUACGAGAUAUAAUGAAUUUUGUGAGAUAAGGUUAGAAUGAAUUCGGGUUCUCCUGUUUUGACUUUGGAAAAUCACUAAAAAUUGGAGAAAAUUAAUUAGAGUCUUAAAUUUAUAUGUUUAGAAUACUGAAUGAGUCCAUUUUCAAGAGAAAUAAACGGUAACAUCAUUUGAAUCCUGUACGAGGAGAUAAUUAAUUUUUAGUGAAGAAGGGUCGGAACUGUAAGACAGCAGAACAGGGGAAACUUAAAUGAAUAAACUGUACUAAUUGGAUAAACCAAAAAUUCUGAAAAUUUUAUGGUGGAAUGAUAUGUGAGUCUAGUUUGAUGGAAAAUUUACGGAUCUUAAUUUUGAGCUCUGUAGCUCGAAUUAUAAAUAAUUGAGUGACUAUAACUCGUGUGGACAGCUUGAUGUGAGCAUUAAUAAGUAAAUUGUGAAAUCGUACUUACAAGAAUGUUAUAUACAUUAAGGAUGUGGAAUGGAGAGGAGGAGGAGGAAAAAUAUAUAUGAAUAUUCAAUUAGCAUGGCUAAUUUGCAUGUUUUAAGCUCAUGGACUAAAUUGAAUAAAAGUAAAACUUUAGGGGGUAAUUUUGUAAAAAUAUCAAAAAUGACUAAAUUGAAGGGAAUAAAUUGUUUUAUUAUCUAAAUUAAUAAAUUGAAUGAAAUUAUCAAUUUAAGAUUGGGUGAAAUUUGGGAAAAUGGUAAAUUACCAAUAUGCCCCUAAAUCUUGGUAUUUCUGUAAUUUAGUCAGGUAGGUUCGGAUACCCUGAAUGAGCAUGUAAAUAUAACAAUUUAAGUAUUGUAUCGUAUUUUAUAUGAUAUUUUGAAUUGAAUAUAUGAAAAGGAUGUUACAUGAAACAUGAAACAUGAAUACUAAAUAAUAUAAAUUAAUUUAAAUUAUUCUGAAAAUUUCGAUAAUUGCUCGUAUCCUAUCCCGGUCUCAGGUACGGGUAUGGGGUAUUACACUUUCAACCAUGGUCUUAUUUAUUUCAUGUCAUGCUGCCAUGGUAUCUUUCAACCAUGGUCUUAUUCAUUGCCAUGGUAUCUUUCAACCAUGGUCUUAUUCUUUUCAUGUCACGUUGCCAUGGUAUCUUUCAACCAUGGUCUUACACAUUUCAUAUCAUGUUGCCAUGGUAUCUUUCAACCAUGGUCUUACAAAUUUUAUUUCAGAAAGCACACUCCCACGAACCUCAUCCUUACAGCGAGAUUACCAGUCCAGGGUAAAUCUCCUGUAAUAUAAACUCAUAGAGUAUUAUCGGGAUUACAAGUCCAGGCUAAAUCCCCUGCAACGACAAUUACUCUAAUGAGCUUAGAUCUGAAUUACCAAUCCAGGCUAAAUUCAGACCCUAAUUUGGAUUAUCCGUCCGGGCUAAAUCCAUUUUACAUGUAUUCUUCGGGAGGGCUAUAUCAGGAUAGGAUCACCUGUCCGGGCUAGAUCCUUUUUACAGUCAAUUCAUUUUCAGGGAUCCAUCGAAUUUUUCAUUCAUUCAAUAGGGAUUUCUUCCCCUUUUUAUCAAAUAUAUCAAUGUUUUAUCAAUUUUCAUACAAUGAACAUUCAAAUCAUAUUCACAUCAAUAACAUACAUUUCAAGCAUUUAAGAAUAUAAUUCAAGUUAUAUGAACUUACCUGGCGAAAUUGCAGAAAUAUCAAGAUUUAGGGGCAUUUUGGUAAUUUAUAAUUUUCCCAAUUUUCAGCUGAUCUUAAAUUGAUAAUUUCAUUCAAUUUAUUAAUUUUGAUAAUAAAACAAUUCAUUCCCUUCAAUUUGGUUAUUUUUGACAUUUUUACAAAAUUACCCCCUGAAGUUUUACUUUUAUUCAAUUUAGUCCCUAAGCCUAAAACAUGCAAAUUAGCCAUGCUAGCUGAAUAUUCAUAUAUAUUUUCCUCCUCCUUAUCUCCAUUCCACAUCUUUAAUGCUAGCUGAAUAAAUAUACAUAAAAUAUAUGGAAAUGAUGGAGCAUAAAAUAUUGAUAUAAUGAAAUGAAUGAUAUAUGCUUGUGAAGAAACGGUAAGAGCAUGAUAUGUUUCAUGACAUGUACAUAUAUGAUUAUCUUUGAUAUGUUGAUAUAAGGAAAUUAUGUAAGUUGAGACUAUUAUUAAACUCAAGUGCGACAUGUCGAGAAAAUAGAUAUAUCAAUGUUGAAUUUAUAUGAGAAAUGUGCAAGUAUACUAACAAUGUUGUUGUUUGAUGCUUAUAUAAGUGCCAAACUGUUGAUUGAAUGGUAACAUAUUUAUUUUAUAUGAUGCAUUGAAUUGGUAAGUAUUUUAAUUUUUUUAAGUGAUCUGCAAAUGGUAGUAAUGCUCCGAAACCCUGUUCUGGCAGCGGAUACGGGUUAGGGGUGUUACACAAUGGACUAAAUAAGGUUUAAACCAUAAAUUGACAUGUGAGUUGUAAGAAUAAUUUCCAUGUGUAUAAAUAAUAUACAUAUAUUAGUAAUUAUUAUAUAUUUACUUAUAAUUUAAUUAAAUAUUAUUAUAUUAUUAUAUUAUAUUAAAUAAAUAAAAUAAAAUAAAAUAAAUCAAAUUAUGACAAUUUUGUGGUAAUAUAAUGUAGAUAAAUACACAUGUACAUUUGUAAUACAUAUAUACAUUGCUUAUUAUUUAAGAAAAUAUUAUUAUAGUAUAUUAUUAUUAUAUUAUAUGACUAUUAUAAUUAAAAUAAAGAAACAAAAGAACGAACGUAAAAGAAACAGAAUAGGAAAGAACGAAACAAGGGAAAGAAGGGAGAAAGAAAAGAAAAAUGGAGAACCGGAGAAUAAGGGUUUUUUAGGUUCAAACUUAAUUUAGUAAGGUAAUUUAGUCUCUUUUUCUUGUAAUUUUGAUUUUUUUAGAAUCCUAGAACAAAAUACUACUUGAUUUAAGUUGAAAGUUUGAAAGUUAGUGAAUUUUUAGAUGUUGUUCAUGUUGAAUAAAUUGAAGAAUUAGGGAUUAAAUUGAUGGGAUUUCAAGUUAAAAUAGAGAAAUGUAUUGAAUUGUAAAAUAAAUUAUAGGUUUUGAAUUAAUAGGGACUAAAUUAAGAGAAUUUGGAAAUUAGGGUUUAUGGCGAAAUUAUUUUUAUUUAAAUACUUAUAUUGUAGUAUAUAAUUACUUAGAAUUAAAAAAAAACAGAUUAUGGAAUUAUGAAAUUUAUUUAAGAAAAUUAUAAGUGGAGACUAUGAAACGGUUAUAUUGUUUGAAUUUUAAGUAAUGAUGUUGUGAUAAAAGUAUAUGUGUGAAAAAAAUGUGAUAAGAAUUAAAUUGUAAAUGAUGGAGAAAUGAGAAAUCUAUUCGAAAUAUUUAUGUAAAGUAUUUAAAUGUAUAAAAUUCAGCUUUAAUGCCCAAGUAGACGGAAUUUAGAACUAUUAGGAUAUUAGAGGUAUGCCAUUAAGGAACUUUAGCACGCUCUCUGAUUAUUAGCACAUCGGUGCUCUCUGAUUAUUAGCACAUUAGUGCUCUCCGUUUAGCACAUAUGUGCUCUCUGUUCAUUAAUGCAUAAUAAUGCACCUCUGUAUUUCUUCCGUAUAUCCAGUGUGUUCUAUAAAGUCUACUUUGGGCUAAGAAUAUGAGUUGUAUAUAAAUGUGAAUCACCAAUAUGUUAAGGUAAGUUUGGUAACCUACAAAAAGAUAAGCUAAACUCUAUUAAAGUAAAGCAUAGCUGAAGAACUUAUAUGCGUGUAAAUAUGUAAUGAUUGAAUAAGUUUAAAAUACUUUGUUAUGAUUUAUUUACCUAUUUAUUCUUAUAGUGCUUACUAAGCCUUCACCGGCUUAAUGCAUUUAUGUAACGCGUAGGUACAGUUAGAUUCGAAUAAGUUGGGUCGGGUUGGACAAUCUCUCAUCUCAUCACAUCCUCGAGAGCUUCAAAAGUAGGUACCAUAUUUUAAAUUAAAAUGGCAUGUACAAAAGUAGAUCAAAUGUGUUCCCAUGUAUUAAGGACUAAAAUGUAAACUCUUGAAAUUUUAUCUGUUCUGAGUUACUUCAAGUAUUUUGGUCUAUAUGAAAUGAAUUAGUGAAAUUAUAAGUACGUUUACGAAUGUGGUUGAUAAAAGUUAAAAUACUAUGUAUAAAUGUUUAAAUUUAAUAGUAUCUAACCAUAACUGUUUUGGCACCAAAUGUAAUAGUCUUAUACCAGGUUCGUACGAUUGGACCAGGUAUAGGGGUGUUACAGUUCUUCAAAAACGACUAAAUUUGGAGGGCCAGGUAUCGCAAGCCUUGCAAUAUGAUCAACAACCGCUUUUUGGGAUCUAGAAACAUGGCGAAUGCGCACUUUCCAUUCACAAUUAAGGACACCAUGAAUUAAACGUAGCUUCACCAUUAUGCUAUUGACAGAUCCACCGGCCAACAAUGAUUCCACUAGAAGUGCAUUAUCACAUUCGACUUCAACCUGUCGCAAUUCAUUUCGCCAUGCAACACACAAACCCUCUAGCACCGCUCUCACUUCCACCUUGAAAAUUUUAUCCUUACACAUUCCCAUAGAAAAACCACAUACUCAAUUCGCAUUUGUAUCUCUGAAAGCAUCCCUAAUUGAUACUUGUUGAUUAAUCAAGGACACUGCCCCAUCAGUGUUAAGUUUGAACCAUCCACUCUCCGGUGGGGACCAAUGAAGCGUCAUCACCAUAAGACUCAACUGUAACACUAAUGACCUGAAUGUAUCAUAAUUCAUUGUCCAUGACAACCCUAUAUCCAACACAUCCUACACACUAAUAUUGCCAUCAGAGAAAACAUAAUGAUUUCAAUUCUUCCACAAUAACCAACACAAAUUUUAAAAUAGAGUUUGUCAAUCAACAUGUUCUGUAACGACUUAAAAGUUAGAGGCGCUGAAAAAUGUGGUUUUGGGAUCUCAUUUUCGUAAACUAAAUCCGUAAAUAUUUUUAAUAAAUAUUUAUGGAGUUAUUUUAGUAGCGAAUUGAAUUUUGGUUAGAUAAUUUUAUCUAAUUAGUGAUUAAUUUAAGUAUAAGAAUUAAAUCGUGUUAGUAUAAAAGUAUGAAUUAUUAUUUAAUUAUAAGGUAAAUUAUAGCUAAGGGAUCUAAAAAAACAAAUAUAACUUUGUGUUUUUUAGUUGAAAUGAACGGUCAAUGUAUUAUAAUAUAAUAUAUAUGUUAUGAAUGUUAUAUUAGUUUUAAUAUAUGAUAAAUAAUAUAAUAUUAUAAUAAAAUAAAGAAUGAAUGAAUAUCAUAUAGUGGAUAGAAAGAGAAGUCAUUUCUCUUUUUAUUUUCUUCAAAUUUGAAAGGGAGAAGGCGUAACACUCCUAACCCUUAUCCGUCCCCGGAAUAGGAUUAUGGGAUAUUACCAGUCAGUACAAUUCAUUUAUGGUUAUUAAUUAAAAUAAUUAUUUACAUUUAUCACAAAUUUAACAUAUUAUCAAAUAAUUCAAAUUCAUAUCAAUUAAGCCAAAUCCUAUUAUAUACCAUUACCAAGCCUAAUUCUAAAUAUUUCAUCAAUACAUUGACAAUUCAAAAUGACACACAUAGACAUUCUAGGCACAUGCCAUUAUCAACUAUUAUCACGCUUUACCUCAUUGAAUUCGGGAUCGGUCUGGGAUUCUGAUUCAACGAUCUAGCUUUAACUUAACCUGCGCACUGAAACAAACUGUACGCUGAGUAUAAACUCAGUGGUAUUUCUAUAAUCCAAACAUUAAAUAGUAAAACAUACACUUAAUAUCACUUAAUGAUCGUAAAUAUUCAUUUAUUCAUUUCAUGGAUAAUUUCUUUACAACUCAUUCAAUCUUUAUCACCCAUUAACUUAAUUAGCUUUUCAAAUAAAUUCACAAUCAUUUAAAUAAUAAUAUUUUCCAUUCAUAUGUCUCACUUAUUCUUCUGUUCACUAUUCAACAUCAGUAACUAAAUUUUUAGUAUCGAUCAAUUUAUCAGUUUCAUUCAGUAACAUUCAAUCAUUCAAUAACAGUUAGUCGUUCAAUAAUAUUCAGUCACUCUUUAAUAGUCAGUUAUUCAGUAACGAUAAAUUAUUCAGUAACAGUCAAUUAUUCAGUAACAAUAUUUUACUUGGUAGCAGUCAGUUAUCCAGUAACAGUCAGUUAUUCAGUAGCAGCCAAUUAUUCAGUAGAAGUCAGUUAUCCAGUAGCAGUCAAUUAUUCAGUACCUUUAUUUACCCCUAUUAACAUGACUCGGACUCAGACAGAUACACGGAUCCAACCCACACAUUAGGAUAGCAUACAAUGUUUCAUCAGCUGGAGCCGAAAUACACCGUAACGGUAACAGUAACAGUAGUGGUACACAGAGUACCUCAUCGAAACAAAUUCGGAACAGUAACAGUAACAAUAGCCGUACAUAAAGUACCUCAUCGGAACAAAUCCGAAACAGUAACAGUAACAGUAGUGGUACACAAAGUACCACUUCGGAACGAAUCCGGAAUAGUAACAGCAAGGCGACACUUAUAGUGUCUCAUCGACACAAAGUCGAAAUAUCCUUUGAACACUUAGAAUCUUAUGGCACGCCAACUAUAUCUGACUUAGCCCGAUACUGUUAAUAGGGUUUCUAAUUCAUUUUUCAGUUUCCAACCAUUACAUAUCUCAACAAUCAUAUAUAUUCAUAAUUCGAUAUAACUCAUUUCACUUUUCAAUAACAAAUAUUUAAUUUUCACAAUAAUCACAUUUAUCCAUAUACAUUUAAUAAAUUUAACACAUACCUAAUCAAUCCACUUCAAUUAUAUAACAAAUAAUUCUCACCUUAAUUACUAUCAUAAUAUUCAAUCAAAAUUCAACAAUAAAUAAAUAAUUUCACUUUUCAAUUCUAACCGAUAUCUAUUCUAAUUCAAAUAUUCAUCUCAAAGCACUUUCUAUACAUAUUAAGUAAUAAAUUCAAUAAUUAAAUAUUAAGUUCGGAUUAUAAAAAUACAAACCAUAAUUUCUCGAAUUAUUCUUCGUCAACCUUUUCUUUUCCUUUCUUCGUAGAUGCCUCGGGUGCGAUGUUAGCUACAAAAAAUUAAGAUAAUUUUCAUAAUCAUUAAUACAAUACUAAUUUACAAUUAAUAUUUAAAUUUGUUGCUCAAUUUCUAUUCAAUUUCUACUUUAAUUUCAAUUUUAAUCUUAACUAAAUUCACUUACUUUUUCUAUCUCAAUUCAUACUUUGCUUCUACUAAAUUUUCAACCAAACUUAGACAUAACUAUCUAAAUUUCAUCAUAAAACCCUAAUUUCGAAAUUCUUGGAAUUUAGUCCUGACUAUGUAAAACUAAUAGCUUCUUUUACAAUUUAAUCAUUUAAUCAAUUCUAACUAAAAAUUCUAUUAAUUUAAUCCCUAAUUCAAUUAUUUGUUCAACGUGAACUAUACUAAAAAACCUAAGAAAUUUCAAAAUCUCAACUUAAUUUCUACAAAACUUUGUUCUAAAACUUCUAAAAUAUCAAAAUUAAAAGAAAAGGACUUAAUUGACAUACCUAUUUAAACCUCAAGCUUCAAACCCUAAAUUUCCCUUUCUUCUUUCUUUUCUUCUCUGUUUUCGUUUCAUAUUCUGUUUAGUUUUUCAUUUCUUUUGUUUCCUUUAUUUAUUAUAAUAUACUAUAAUAAAUAUAUACAUAUACUUAAUAUUUAUGUUUAUUAUAAUAUUGAUAAUUAUAUGUAUAUAAUCUUUCCACAUAGAUUUAUCAACUCCAUACACUUGUUAAAAAUAAGAUUUAUUCAUUAUAUAAAUAUUUUAUAAUAUAAUUAAUUAAUAAAUAUCUUUUAUAAAUAAUAAAUAUCUAUAAAUAAUUAAAUAUAUAUAUUACAAAUGUAUGUAUUUUUAUUAAUACACUUGUAUCAAAUCAUAACCACACAUUUGUCUUUCAACUAUUUAUUUUAUAUAAAAAUCUAUUUUCUUAAAUAAAAAAUAAUUAAAUAAAUAUUUUAUAAUUAUACAAAUAUAUGUAUUAGACAUGUAUUUUUUUAUUACUAUACAUUUAUCUUUACUUUAAUUUAUUUUAUAAUAUAAUAUCAAUUUAAUAAAAAUAACAUUAAUAAAUAUCAAAUAUAAAACCAUAAUAAAUAAUAAUAAUUUAUUAUACAUAUUUAUGCUAUGCACUUGUCGCCUCACUUAGGACAAAUGGCAUAAUUUUCAUUUUGGUCAUUUUUAUUUUCUUUUAAUCUACAAUUAAACUUUCACACUUUAUUCAAUUUAGUCUUUUUUCUUAAUUACUCUUAAUUAAGCUAAAUUCACUUAAUUAAAGCCUAAUUAACCACUUGAUUAACUUCAUAAAUAUUUUUAAUAAAUAUUUAUAAAUCUAUUUUUCAGAAACGGAGACCCGAAAAUAUAUUUUUCGAUAACCGUAAAAAUUCGAGUCGUUACAGAAGGACAAAAGGGUUUAAGGUUUAAGCUUUAAUUGUUAACGUGGAUCCAUAUUUCUCAAAAAAGAAGGGAAAAAUAAAGUUAUUGAUAAAUAAUUCGAAGAUUGUUGUUUAUGUUUCUAUAAUCCAAACUCUUUGUAAAUUGAUGCAUUUUGAAUUGUUUGUGCUUGGUAGGAAUAUGAGGUGAGUUGAUGGUGGAAAUGAAAUAGUUUGGAUUAGUUAGUUCAAUUGGCAUAUUUUUUGGUAAAUUAUACUAUUAGUUACUCAAUUAUUAGUGUGUUUUUGUUUUCACCUUUAAAUUAUAAUUUUUUAAAUUUUACCACUAAUGUUUUGAAUUAUUUAUGUUUUGGUAACUCUUCGUUAAAAUAGUUAAUGAAAGUAAUGAUGUGGUUUUUUUAAACUAUUAUAAUAAUACAUUUAAUCCUCAAUGUGUACACAUUAUAUCAAAUUGAUCUUAAUUCUAAAUAAUUUAGUAAAUUUAACCCUCAACAUUUAAAAAUUCUAUCAAAUUGAUAGAACUUGUAAAUAUAGUGGAUCAAAUUGACGAAUUCAAAAAGUGCAAAUAAUAAAAUUGAUUAAAUCAAAGUAUAGGGACUAAAUCCAAACUUUCGCAAAAUAAAAGGGAUAAUAGCAGAAUUUAACCCUUUCUUUGAUCCUCUCUCCACUUAACAAUGUUUAAAGGUCUGGUCUAACUAUUUCAAAUCAUUUUUCUCUUUGCUUUGCCUUUUAAGUUGGGAAAAUCCAAUCCGGUGAAAAAGCUUUCUCAAAAUGGUAAUGCCAUUGUCAUUGCCAUCACCUUAUCCUCUCAGAUCAUUUAUAAGGGUGUUCAGGUCACUCUCUUGCAAAAUCAAUUUGCAAAAAUAGAAGAUAUAAGUCAAAUUGCAGAAGGAAUCGCCCCACUCCAUCAAACUCUAUACUCAAAUAAAUUUCUCCCUCAAACUCUCUGCCCCGAGUCUCUGCACAAACAAACUUCUCCAUCAAACUCUCUGCCAAAACAACACAUGAAAAUAGAAGGAGAUAAUGAAAUUUUAAAAUAAACAUAAACAUAGAAAGAAAGUGGAAAGCUCUCUGCCCAAACAACACAUGAAAAUAGAAGAAGAUAAUGAAAUUUUAAAAUAAACAUAAACAUAGAAAGAAAGUGGAAAGCUCUCUGCCCAAACAACAAAUGAAAAUAGAAGUAGAUAAUGAAAUUUUAAAAUAAACAUAAACAUAGAAAGAAAGUGAAAAGCUUUGUUAUUAACCUCUGCUCCCGCUCAAUCAAUAAGCCAGCCGAAGAAAGCUACUGGUAUGUAAGGGAGAAGACAUACACCACUAUGUGUUGCAGCAUUAUAUAUAUUGCCAUGUAUGCAUCUUUUCCACUCACAUUCCACUCCAUUCUCACUCACAUCCCACUCUGCAUUCUACUCUUCACCUUCAUAUAUACGAGUUGCAUGUUACAGCUGAUCUUCCUCCUAAUUUGGAAUCGGUAGGACCGACAGAAGAGUGGGAGGAAAUAGGAGCAGUACUUUAUGUAAAAAUAUUAUAUAUAGAGAUAAGUUUAUUAGUGUUUUUUCUUUUUAAGUUGAAAUGUUUAACAUAUUUUACAUGCAGGUUGCAUGCGACUUUCAUGCCAUGCCAGAGGAGGAUGCCUUUAUUGCUUAUGGCUUACCAUGGAGGACUUAUACUUGUAGUUGUGGUUCAGAAAUGUAUUUCAAAGUUAGUAGCCUUCCCCCUGCUAGUAGGUUAUGUUUCAGCUCUACAGAACCAUUCGCCAUUGUACAAACCUUAGAGAUAGACUUUCCUCAUUGCGGUGAGCAUGAUUAUUUGAUGACCUAUGACAGAAGAAUUACGACCGCAGCCAACGGCGUAGAUUGGCAGGCAUUCCAUCAAACCGUGAGUUUUUGUUUGUUAGUUUAAGUUUUGAUUUGCCAUCUUAUUUUCUAAUGAUUUCUUUUUCUUUUUUUUUUUUUUUUGGAGGAUAAGCAGUACCAGAGGAGCGUUAGGCCAUUCGGGUUAGCAUAUACACACAAAUUAUGGAAAUGAUGGUGAUGAAUAUGUAUAUACAGCAAACCUGGAGGUAGUUACAGGAAGAGACCAAAAUACAGGGGAGGAGAUUGUGGAAAAUGUUGGGACGGCAAGGUUUUUCUUUAAAUGGAAGCCCGUGGACUAAGUAUAUACGGGAGGGUUUGUUUUUGUUAGUGGUCAGCUUCUGAUGUAUGAUGUAUGUUUGUUUCCUGUAUGUUUGGCUGUAUCGUAUUAAGACUAAAAUAAAGAUGAAUAUUUGGUUGUCAUAUUUACUACAAUCACGAUCUAUUGCAACAAAUAUUGACUAAAAUGAAUCGAAAACAUAAAAUAACGACUAUAAUAUCACUGUAUAAUUGGAAGACCUCCAAUUUUUUAUUUUUUGAAUAAAUUUUCUGCUGAAUUUUAUUGAAGAAACCCAAACAUAUGUCCAAAACACAGACAAAACAAACUUAACAAAAUAGAAAAGCAAAGCCCCAAUGCACAAGGCCCAAAACAGAGAAAUAACAGAACCCAAACAGACGAGGCCCAAUCCAGCAAAAACAAAAGCAGUAUGCUCCAAAGUCUUCUAAAAACAUAAUAAACAUCAUAAUUAAGCACUUUCCUUUUAAAUGCCCCCAACCUUUCAUCUGCUCUUCUUUCCUCUCUUCGAUUCUCCGGCUUCCAGCUUUCAUCUCCAACGCUCAUCGGCCUAGUUUACAGAGAUCCUCCACCAAUCCUCAUGUCCCACUGUUCCCCUUUUUUAAGUCCUUCUGUGGCCAACAUAUGUGCUACUCUGUUGAAUUUUAGCACAAAGGUCUCUUGAGUUUUUUCACAAACUAAGGUAGUCAUCCAACUUGAUUUUUAAAUUGGAGUUCGUACAGGCCCAAUUAUGCCCGGCCCAAAACUAAAAUACCCAAACCCAAUUUACAUCAAACCCUAGCCCAAUAUAACAAAACCAAAAUAACCAAAUAUAAAAAUCCAAUAGCCCAAAUACAAUACCCAAACCCAAUUUACAAACCCUAACAGCCCAAGCCCACUAUCUUAAAAAAAAAUUUUCAACAGCCACCAAAGUUUUCAGCCGCAUGCCUUCAACCUCAGCCGCCACAUGCCCCAUGCUACCACUGUCUGCUGCCUCUACGCACAUUGCACGCCUCUGACACCUGCAAGGAAGAAACCACGCGCAAACAACAGAUGCAAACAAGAGCAAACGACAAAAAUGGAACCAAAACAAUAGAAGAAAUAUAAAAUAUUGUACUCCGUUCGAUUAUAAGAGCAGGAAAAAUGAGUGCAAAAGGGGGGAUCGAUGGUAUUUUGGAAAGAGGGAACCGAUUGUAAAUAGAGGGGGAUUUUGAAUACAAAAAAAUUGUAUUUUCACAGGCACAUCAGAAAUCAAGAGCAAAAAAAGGAAAUCAAGAGCAAAAAAAGGGUUGAUUUUAAUUUCUAGGGUUCCCUUUGUUCAUUUUUCAUUUUUGUUAUUUAUUUUAUUUUUUAUUUUUUUAUAAAUCUAUUUCAAACAAAAAAGGAGAAGAAGAACUUACCCGGAACCUCGUGGCAGUGUCGUCGGGGGUCUCCUCCGUCAUUGGAUCCGGACCCGAAUGGGGUUGAUGCCCUUUGCUUUCUUGCUUUCUCAUUUGAUAGAAACCUCCCUCUUAUUUUCUAAAGCCAAAUGGGAUUUCAAGUUGUUUUCAUCCAGUUUUUUUUUUAUAUUGGUGUAUGAAAAUAAAGAAAGAAAAGAAAGGGAGCUCACUUACCAGGCCUUCAUAGUAAUGAUCUCAGGCCAUUUUUUUUCCACACCGUCGGCUACCAGAUAUGGUGGUGGUCCGGCGUCAUGUUUGGGUGAAAACCUAACAGAGAGGAGCUUGGGGUUUUGUUUAGAAAAGGGAUUUGUAAGCUUAAAAAAAAUAUAAAGGUUUGAAUAAAAAAUUAAAAGGCACCAUUUAAAAAAAGGGGGGGGGGUCUGCGAGUGGCCUGAUCCACAGGCUAAAUCCACGCAUUCUCACUUUAAGUGGGUAAUUUGCAUGGUUGGUCCCCUCCAUUUGUGCUGUCUUUUAAUUAAACUCUAUUUUGUUUCUUUCGUUUUUACCCUAAAAUUUGUGUGUAAUCUCAAUUCGGUCCGCGCUAGAGUACUGCGUUUUGGUAUUUGGGAUAAUUUUGUUUUUUAAUCCCCAUUGGUUGGCGCGCAUCGUAUUUUGGUCCUCAGUAUUGUUUUAAUCAUUUUAUUUGCUUGCGAUUUUAUUUUUAUUUUAAUGGAGUAUUUUUUUUUAUUUUUUUCUUUUCUCUUGUAAUUCUUUUAUUUUCUUUAAAAAUUUAUUUAUUAUUCGUCUUUAUCUUGAUAUUAUUUUACUGAUUUUGCAUUGUUCUAUUUUGUCAUUUUAUACUUUUGUGUUUAUAUAUAUAUUAUUAUUAUUUUUUAAAAAAGAGAUUGUUUUAUUUUAUAAUUUGUCCAUUUUAAAAUUCUCUUCUAUAUGAUUCUAUGUUUUAAAGAUUAAUAUGAUAUUUAUACAUUGAUAUUUAUAUACAUAUAUAUAUAUACAUAAUUUAAUUGAAUUACUUAUUUAAAUUCCUUUGCAAACAUGUUUAUAUUUUUCCCUUUAAAUCUAUUUAUGUAUACCAUUUGUUUCCCAAUUUUAAAUUAUAUUUUGUUUAUUUCAAACAUUUGCCUAUAUUAUUAUUAUUAUUUAUACAAUGUUUAUAUUAAGUUUUAUGCUUUAUGUAUCUUAUUAAUUGUUGAUAAAUAAAUCUUGUUUCAAAUUAUUUUAUAUAAUCAUUGAUUUUAUAUUAUAUAGUAUGUCAUUCGUAUAUUCUUUUAUAUAUUCUUAUAUAGUUGCAUUUAUAUAAUUCAUUUAUGUUAUAACUUGCUAAUAUGUGCAUUAUUCGUUUUAAAAUUUUAUAUAGGUACACAUUAUUAUUUUUAUGUACAUAAUUUAUAUUAUAUAUAUAUAUAUAUUUAUCCUUUUUUAAAUCUUGGUUUUAAAUUAUUUUGUAAAGCACCAACUUUAAAUUUCCCCUUUAAAUACUUAUUCUAGAAUUCACCUAUAUGUUGAACUUUAUAUUUUAUGUCUUAUUUAUUUUUAUAAAUGAUUUCAAAUUUUUGCAUGUAUCAUUUGUUUAUAUACAUAUAAUUUGCUUUUAAAAUGUUUUUACAUUCAAAUAGAUUUUUUUAUAUUAAGCUUUACUUAGAAAUGUUGGAUGGAGUAUUAUUAUUAGGUGUGUUUUGAUUUACGUAUUGGCUUCUCUAUAUUAUUAUUUAUAAUUUGUAUAACAUGGAAACCAUGCAUAUCUUCCAUACUCGUUACUUUGUUUUGCAUUUCCAUAUAUUAUUUCUUUCAUCAUAUUUGACAAUUUCUUCUUAUUUCCUUUAUUCUGCUUUUGUGUUUAUUUAUUUUAAUCGUUUAUUUUUCAUCAUUGUUAUCAUUGUUCUUAUUAUUUUUGUGACAUUAUUCUAUGUCAGUUAUUUUCUUAUUUGGUCAUUCAUAUCAAAUAGUUAAAAGAUGCAAAUGAUGCGAUUAUUGCGAACCGUUUUUAGUAUAUUCACAUUCUUAUUAUUUAUCGACAUAAUAUUUUCAUUCGCAUAUUACCAUUCCAAAUCAAAUACAUUUUAAACUUCAUAUUUGCUAUUAUUUCAUAAAAAGAAAAUAUUUCGUGUUUGGGAAAUUCGAGUGAUCGUGCCCUAACUUAUUGGGUUUCGGUUUUUCUAACGGCAUAUUCUUUCAAACCAUAAUACGAGUUUUAAAUAUAAUGCUUUGUAAUAGCCCGAUUUUAGGCUUAGUCGGAACAGUGGUUUCGGGACCACAAAUCCGACGAAAAAAAAAUGUAAUGGCUUGAAUUUUCAGAGGUGUCGGAACGGUGAUUCGAGAUCACUAAAUUCGACAAAUGGGUAGAAAAUAUUAUUAAUUUAGUAAGUAUAAGUUAAAUAUGAAGUUAGGAAAAUUUUUGAAAUAGUGAAUAGUGCACUAGAAAUAAAUAUUAAAAUAAUUAGAAUCGAAAUGAGGUAUCAAGACCUCGAGGAUUUUAAACUGAGCCAUAAAUAUUUUUAUAAAUAUUUAUGGAGUGUUAAAAAGUUAGUAUUAAAGUUUCGUUAAGAAAUUUUAAAGUUCCGAUAAUUAAUUGAACAAAAAGGACUAAAUUGUAACAAAUGCAAAAUUUUGGGAAAUGAUUAAAUAGCUUAAAUGAUAAAAGGAAGAGGGCUUAAAAAGCAAAUAGACCCAAGGUCUAUUUGGGCUGGACGGCAGAGGCAUGAAAUCAGCAAGAAAGUAAGGAGAAUUAAGGGAAAAAUUGGAAAAUUGCAAAAUUUGCUUAAUAAAGUUAGGACCCAAGUGGAAUUAUCUAGAUUUCUCUUCAUUUUUCUGAAUUCUGAUCAGCUAAAACACCAUGGAAGGGCUUCUUCAAGCUGGUUCUUCAUAUUUUUAUUACAAGUAAGUUCAAUUCUUGACUAUUUCUUGAAAUUUUUGUAUUUUUAUGACUUUUACAACUAGGCCCACUUGUUAAAUUCAUUAGUUUUUGAUUUUAUGAAAGAAGUUGAAAGUUGAUAUGAAUAUGUGCUGGAAGUAUAUGAUGAUUUAGCAUGAAAUUAGAGCUUUAAAUUGUUCAUAUGCUGAUUUUAUUGAAAGAAUUGAAUAGAAAGUGAAUGUUUGGGACCUAAUAGUAAAAGAGUUUGAAGAUAGAGUUAUAUGUGGAAAUUCUGAAUUUCAAUAGUUGUGUAACAAAUUAUAAUGUCUAGUAAAGUACUAAUUGAGAAAAUUAGAUUAAUUGAGGGGUUAAUUGAGAAAGGACCGAAUUGUAUAAACUGUGAAAUUUGGGGCAAAAUGGAAAUCAACAUUUUGCACUAAAGCAGUUUUGGACAGCAGCAGUAGUGUAACUUUAAAAAAUCACCAAAAAUUGUAGAGAUUGAAUUAGAGGAUGAAUAAAAUAUGAAAUUAAAGCUUAUUGAGUCUAGUUUCUUAUAAAAGAAAUGAUGUGAGCAAUGGAAUUGUAAAUCAUGAGAUAUAAUAGAUUUUGUGAGACAAGGUCAGAAUGAAUUCAGGUUCCCCUGUUCUGACUUUGGAAAAUCAUUAAAAAUUGUACAGAAAUUAUUAUGAGUUAUAGUUUAUAUGGUUAGAAUCCUUAAUGAGUCUAUUUUUAGAAGAAACAAGCUAAAACAUCAUCUGAAUUCUGUACAAUGAGAUAAUUAAUUUUUAGUGAAGAGUGGUCGGAACUGUCAGACAGCGAAACAGGGGAAACUUUAAAGAAUAAACUGUACUAUUUGGCUGAACCAAAAAUUAUGAAAAUUUUAUGGUAUGAAGAUAUGUGAGUCUAGUUUCAGGAAAAAUUAACGGAUCUUAAUUUGGAGCUCUGUAGCUCCGGAUAAAAAUAAUUUAGUGACUCUGACUCGGAUAAACAGCUUUGAAUAUACAUGUUAGUGAAUAUUGAAAUUAUGGUUAAUGUUGUUUAAGUGUGUUAUACACAUUAAGGAUGUGGAAUGGAGAGGAGGAGGAGGAAAAUUGGGAAAUAUAUGAAUGAUUCGUGUAUAAAUGGUCAUAUGUUUGAUUAUAACUCAUAAACGAUGAAAUAUGAAUGAUGCUUAUUUUUGUGCAUUAUUGGUCAUGGUUUAAGCUCAUGUGUGAAAAUAAAGUUCAUAGUAUGUGUGUAUGGUAUAUUCAGUAUAUGAUUUGGCAUGAAAUAAUACCAUGAAUGGUUUAUGAAUUAACACAUGUUGGUAAGCCUGAUAUAUGAAUAAAUGAUCAAAUUGAGCGGAACGCCGGAUUUGAGUACUUCUGAUCAAGUGAUAAAGUGAUAAGUGGUAGCUUUAGCUACACUUAUCUGAUCAAGUGACAAGUGGAAAGUGAUAAGUAAUAGCUUCGGCUAUACUUAUCUGAUCAAGUGAAAAGUGAUAAGUGAUAGCUUCGGCUAUACUUAUCUGAUCAAGAGACAAAGUGAUAAGUGAUAGCUUUAGCUACACUUAUCUGAUCAAGAGACAAAGUGAUAAGUGGCUACACUUAUCUGAUCAAGAAACAAAGUGAUAAGUGGCUACACUUAUCUGAUCAAGAAACAAAGUGAUAGGUGGCUACACUUAUCUGAUCAGGGACAAGUGAUAAGUGAUCAUACGUAAGACCAUAGUUAUACUAUGGCAAAGUGAAAGUGAAGUACUCAAUUUUCCGUGACCGUUCCCUAAUUUGAUUAAAGAUGGUAAGUGACAAAUGGGCCCAAAAGAAUUAAAGUAAAUGGAUAAGUGGUAGUGUAUUUAUAUCAGGACGAUGUUGUUAUUCAAACUAAAGUGAUAUUUUCAUUGCUAAAUUGAGAAUUUCAUAAAUGUGUUAUUGAAUGGUAUAAUCAAUAAACAUUGAGUUAAAUGGUAAAUACGUAUUAGUUUUGAAUUUGAUGUCAUUGAAUUGUACGUGAAUUAAAUGGAAAUUUCUAGUGAUAUGAUUUAAAUUAUGAGCAUGAGAAAUUACGAAUUGAAUGAAAUGGAAAUGAAGCAUUAAAUUGCAUGAGUAUGUAUCGGGUCUCGCAGGCCCUAAUUAUUAUGAUUAUAAUAUUUUAAGGAUAUAUUGUGAAAAGUUAUAGAAACAUGUUAAUUAUUUUUGAAAGUUUUAAUUUUGAUGAAAUUUUAUAACUCGGUUAAAUACGUUUACAAGUGUAUGUGUUUUGGUAAUGCCUCGUACCCUAUUCCGGUGUUGGAUACGGGUAAGGGGUGUUACAUGCUUACUCUUUGAGAUUUGAGGUGUUGUACCCUAACUUACUGGAUAUGACAUCUUAUUACCUCGAGAUAAGAUUUUUGCAAAUAAAGGCAAUAUUUUGUGUUUGAAAAUUUCGAGAAAAUCGUGCCCUACGCGUUGGGUUUCGAUUUAUCGUUUGACCGAAUAACCGAAUAUCCUUUUUAAAAUUUCAAUGCAUGAGUUUUGGAAAUCAUGGGAUGAUUUUGAGUAUCGAAGGUUGGAAAUGUCGUGUCCUAUGUGCUGGAUGUGAUAUUUUAUUUCUUCGGAACAAGAGAAUAUUAAUAUCCACUUCGAGUUAUCCAAACAUUCAUAAAAAGGAUCGUAUUUCAAAAUUUAUUUUAAAUAUUUUUAAUUUUUGACAUUAAGACAUUUGAUAAUCAAUUAGGUGCCAAUUUUUGGGCGUUACGAGGGUGCUAAUCCUUCCUCGUACGUAACCGAUUCCCGAACCCAUUCUUUUAUUUCGUGGACCAAAACUAAUGAUUUUAAAACAAAAUGUUUUAAAGGUGAUCCAAUCACACCUAAAAAGAUUGGUGGCGACUCCCGUUUUCGUUUUUUAAAAUCGAUUCCCAUUUUCCAAAACUCGAAGUGAAAAUGGUUACGACAGAGUUGAUCUCUGAAAAUGGGGCUGUUUUGUACAUCGUGGAUUCCAUAUCAGAUAAAAACAUUCACAAAGGUAUUUCAUCAACAAAAAUGCUCCAAGGGACCCUUUCUCUUCACUUCUUCACAAGAGUCACCAUUGGUAUCGUUUGCAUUUACAUUGAUUUCAUCGUUAAUGGGGCUGGUGACAAUCACAAUCUAGGCAAUCACGGUGAUGCCAUCAUCUAAUACUGCUUUUUGUAAGGACUUCGGCAACGUGUUUGAAGUAACAUAGGGAGGUAACAAUAAUCUAAAGAAGAAGGUCGACAGAGAAUAAAAAGCAAUGUCAUGGGCGAUGGUGGCGGCUUCCGGGGUUGAAUAGGAGCCUGACCAAAGGCGUUCUUCAGGACCUUGAACUCGGAAUUUCCACACCCAUUUCCCCGUUUCCUUCACCGGCGCUGCUUUCACUAGUACUAAUUAACCCUUCCCGAAAAAGCAUCAUUAAUUCACAAGUUGAAGACAGACAAAAGUGAAUGGUAAUUAAUUAAUAUAAAAGGGGGUUAAGGCGAAUCAUUAAUUCAUAGGUUGAAGAAAGACAAAGUAUACGGUAUUUAAUUAAUAUAGAAAGGAGGUUAAGACGAAGAUGAAGAUUGGAAGGGGAAUUAAAAAUGAACAGGUCAGGUAACAAAAGAGAAGUGGACGGUGGCUUCUACGGUUGUUUUGCAAGGAGGAUGAUACAUGGAAAAAUCAAAGUACAAUCCAUCCGUAAUGAGUGCUUUAUUUUACAAAAAAUAAUGAUUAAAGAAAAUUCGUAAUUUAUUUUAUGAUCAUUAAUGGCUUUUCUGUGUUUAAUAAAUUGAAAUUGACGAGGAAAAGUAUCCUACAAUUGUCAAGGUGAUAAGGAAUAAAGUUUAAUACUACUCUAUUUUUCUAAUUAUGAUUAUAAAAUACCUUAAGUUGGAUAAUAACUUAAGGUUUCUUCUUCUAUACAAGUUAAACAACCAGUGGACGGAUCAAAUUGAAUUACUUAAUACAAACCUGAGCUAAAUUAUUUAAUUCAAACCAUAAUUUUAGUUGACUAGAAUGUAAUAAUUAAAUAACUUAAAUUAUUUAAUUUCUUGAAAACAUAAAAAAUAAAAUUUAAGACAAUUUCCCCAUACAACAAAUCAUGUACAAGGAAAUGAUCGACUCAUAAACUCUAAAUAUUUUUCCCUAUAAAAUUUAGGACUCAUAACCAUCAGGUGUCGGUACCAUUUGAGAGGCUGUAGUUAUUUCAUUUAAGCUCUCUCCAAUCAACACAUAAAAUAGGCUAGAAUACAUGAUUUUUUCAUAUAUGUAUAUAUACAAAUAAAAGUUUGAACAAGUCAUUUUUCAUCUAUUUUGUAUCGGGUACAAUCUUUUAAAUUAUACUGGGAUAAAUAAGAACCUAAAAUAAUCCAAACAUAUAAUCAAAUUAACGCUCCACUAAUUUUAAACACGGAACGAUAUUCAUUGACUGGAGUUCCUGAAAAAAUGACAUGAAAUGGGAAAGAUGUUAGGUAACAAGGGAAAAAAACAAUGAAUGCAUAAGAAAAGAAAAAUAGUACAGAAGUCAAAAAAAGACAAAGGGACUGAAAAAGUAUUCUUAUUAAAUGUGACAUGACUUUGGAAACAAUAUUAACCUCCUAUAUCUCCAUUAACAUGUUUUUAUUCAGAAACCAAAUUGAACGACAACCAAUAUCUGUAUUUGUAUCAUUGUUGGACAUAACUAACACAACCCUUCAACAAGCAAACAAAAGUACAAAACUUCACCUCAUAUGAAAUUCUUCACUUUUCUUUAAAUACCACAAAAGACCAUAAAAAAACAUUCAAAGACUUGAACGUACCCGUAUCUGACUUAAUUAAACUCCAAGUAACAUAGAUGAAAUGUAUGCCUUCGACUACAUGUGUUCAGGAGUGGUACUAACAAGUGCCAUAUGCAUCGACAAGCAUUAUAGAACAAAGACGCUCAAUAAACAAAUGCCCUUUCAUUUCAGUAAGCAUCCUACUUUUUUUUUUCUUUUUUAAAAAAAAAAACCCAUAUUUUAUUUGAGUAGGUCAGAGUGCGGCGUGAUACUUUCAAACAUGUCAUUUGUAUAACAAAAAUUUUUGCCAAAGUCUACCUGGAUUAAAAGCUUGCAUGCGUAUGGUAGUUUCAUGCUAGAAACAUUUUCUCCAAUUUUACAUGAAGAACAAAACCCAGUUUUCAGCUUAUGGCUGUAGUAUCCUAUCAAACCACAUUUUCGGCAAACCUGUGUCAAAAGAUGGUUAUUAUGAGAUUGAAGCUGAUUCCAAUCAAGCAGUAAAAGUGUAAAAAGAAAGCACCAUAACAAAGAUAUUACAUCCGAACCAUUACAAAGUACAAAUUGAACAUAUAACCGUAAACCAAAAUAACUCUGGCCAGGCCAAAAUAAAUCUGACAGAGACCACACAUGAUUUACAUAAGGUGAAACUCAACCCGGACCCUCACCCUUUUGCAGCUGUGCCAAGGCCUCAUUGGCCUCAUCACCGGAAAAUUAUAGAUAAAAGAUAUUCAAGUGUAAUAAUUAAAUCAAUGUCAAGAAAUAUGAAAAUAACAGCUAUUUGUGAACUGCAACGAUUAAUAUGAGCAACAUCAACGAGAAUUUUCCUCUGGGUUUUCCAGACUAGGAAAAGAAAGUGACUUUUGCAACCUGUGGUCUUAAGAGACUAGAUAUAAUUCAAGUACGCAAAAAGGCAAACUUUUGAUGUUAUUCCUAUGACAACGACUUCACAGACAAAUGCAAUUUCAAGUAAGUACAUACCAAAGAAAUCAAUGGACCCUCAUCCUCGUCAGUUGUAACAUGAGUCAUUAGGGCCAAGUUUUUAUCCAGUCCACAACCUUCGCCCUCUGGAGUAUCACAAGGGCAAAGCAUUCCCCACUAUAGAAGUUAAAGGAACAGAAAAGAAUUAAGAGAAAAAAAUAAAUAUACAGAAACCAGUAACAGACUGCAAAAGCUUAAGUAACAAUUCCCAAAUAACCCAUAUUAAAGUAUUUUGAAUGCAACCGCAGACAUCACACUCACCUGGCUAGGAUGCAAGGCCCUUGGUCCACUUACUUUCCGGGACUUAUCAAACUGUUGUGAGACUUUUGUCAUAAAGCCCAAAGUUCCAAUAAAGGACAUCCUCCCCAGAGUCUAUCAAUGAAAGAUUUUCCACCAGUUUAUGUUGUACUAAGAAAAUACAGAUGAAAAAUGGAUAAAAAGAAACCAGCUAAGAGGAUAAUAAACACCUGUGUCACGCCUUUACUCUGCAUUCUGAACCUAUUGGUAGGAAGGUUUCCAGUAGAAAGGGUCCAUUUAAGGCCUUCACUAAUGAUGUCAAGCUCACACAAAAGCUACAAUUCAAGAGAGAGACAAAAUCUAGGCUAUAAUGGAAGGAUCAAGCAGAACUGACAUAAAUUAACUAGAACAAAGUGACAGCUGAACUAAUAUGGCUGAAGAUAGAUACAUGAUGUAUCAACCGAGUAGAAAUGUCAACAAAAAUAUUACAGUCCCAAGUUAAAACAAUAAGUACAUAACAAGAUUUUGCUCAUCCUGUAUGCCAAAGUGAAUGAAUAAAUACACUAUGUUUUGCUCAAAUUGAACUGCAUCAAUAAAAGUCUUUGUUUCCUUACUAAUUAAUAAAGCAAUAUAAAGUUUUACAAGCUAAAAUUGCACUGCAUCAAUAAAAGUCAUUGUUUCAUUAUUAAUCAUUCCAUGAGCUUCAAAACAUAUUUCCGACAAGCAGUGAUGCUAAAUUAACAGAAGCUAGACCAAUUUUAAUUAGUUAUUUUCUAAGAAAUCCUUAUUGUUUAAAUAAUCAUUAGCUAUGAAUCAUGGACAUCUAAUAUGGGUGCGAUACAAAACAAACACAGCACAAAACCGGACAAAGCACCGCCAUUAUCACCGUCAGUCGCUCAUUGAGUUUAAAACUAAGAUUUUCUACCACUUAUUCUGAUUUUUCAAACAUAGAAAUCCUCUGUCCAAGUGUCUAGACCAAGUUUGACCGUGUCCUAAUGUUUUUUUUUAAUACUUUUGCCGUAUCCCGUACAUAUCCCGGCGUGUCUGUGUCAGACACCGGUACGAGGGCCUUGUUGAUGUGUGCUGCUUCAUAGAUCAUUAGUAAGCACAUUGGCACAUGGAAAAGCACUUGGCUUAAACAUACUGAUUCUGCUACUUACCCGAGAAGGGUCUAAAGCCCUAGAUCUGCUGAUCGCUGCUAGGGCUUUAUCAAUAUUAUCUCCAACCUUUUUAAUCGUCUUCUUGAACAAAUCCUGUUACAUUAACAAGUCAAAAAGGGACAGUGGGUAACAUUGAGAACCACAUAGGAAAAUAAAUAAGGUUUUGAGAAAAAAGCAUAAUUAUGAAUAAUACUUCAAAAAGAAGAGAGAUUAAUUGUCCUGAUAGCUCGAGAUGCUUGUUCCCCACAUAAUCCUACAAAACAAAGGAAAACCAUUUAAAUGGCCAGCACAAGUAAGCUUACGUAUAUUAAAAUAUUCAUCAACUUUCAUGUUUCCAAAAGCUCCUUGAACUCAGGAACAGCUAGGAUCUAUGACACACUGCAACUGAUUUGCCUUGGAAAGAAAAACAUGGAAAAAAGACAAUAAGCAGCGCAGUUAUCUGAAGGAUGAGCCAAUUCCUUGAGAUAAAAAUCAUAAAUCAAUGUGCAAUGCAACCCUUCAUACAAAACACUUUUAUCUUAAGGGUAUCUGCCUUUCUCUUUGCUUAGAGGUGACCUUGGUUAGACUAGAAAAUUGUUAUAAAGCACUUUGACCGGGAAGACUAAAGAUAACACGGUAGAAACUUUGAGAAGUAGUUAAAGUUAAGUUGAGAGUAUAUCUUUGUAGUUCUAAAUGAGUAGAUUGAAAGACUGCCAAGUAAAUAAUACCUUGUCAUCGAUUGCAUGCUUAUUUAAUGUUGCCUCCAUCAUCCUUCUCAGCAUAACCGCAACAUACAAGCAUUUUGGACGAAAAUUAUUGCAACGCACCUAAAUGAAGGGGGAAAUAUGUAAAAUAAUUGUCGAUGUCAAAAUGCUGCCAUUGAAUUUUGAGAACUAAAACAAAACCUACUGGAACAUUGACAAGAAAGAUAUCUCGAAGGAUCAAAAAAGCUCCCCGUUCCUACAAUAAAUAAAUAAAUAAACUAUCUCGUUAGCAUAAAUUACAAAAACAAUGCUGGCAGCAUAGUAACUUUUUUUUUUCAUUUUCAUUGGUGAAAGCUCUCAGUCACAUCUAUAUGUGCAAUAAUGCAAACACGGCUAUUUAUGCAGAGAAAGACUGAGGAGAAAGACCUGAGUUUUCUGCAAAAGAAAGCAAUCAAAUUGAAAAUUUGAAACAACCAGAAGUACUGAAACAAAAAUGAAUAUGAUAUAUGUGUGUAUACAUAUUCGUACAAAAGCAACGAAUGUAUAGCAAAAGGUAAACCCACAAACGAAAUUAAGACUAAAAAGCAAUAGUUAUACACCAUUUCGGUUUGUAAAGCUGAUAAGACUAAAAUUAAAGUAAAAUUAACAUGUAAACAUCUAAAUCACCUCCCAAUUCCGUGUAGUGCACUGAAAUCUAGUUAUUAAAAGCUAAAUUCUUAAGUUUUUUCACAAACUAACCAAAGAGUAUUGAACCUUCGUAUCAAGGUACGCCAAUGCUUGUUCUUGGGUAUAUAUGCCAAUAUGUGCACAUUCCUGAAAAGGAACAAAUAAAUAAAUUAGGAAAGCGCUGCCAUGUAAAGACAAGAAAACUCUAGAAUGGCCGAGAAUACAAUAUUUAAAAAUAUUUUAAACAGACCUGAAGGUGCACACCAUGUUACAAAAUUGAAAUAAUAGACGCAUCACCAGACAUUCAAUGACAUUGUGUAGAAAGGGAUUGAUAUGUACAAAGUGCAGGUUUUAGAAUGGAUAUGCUUUUGAAAAGUUAUAAGAACACAAAAAAUAUCACCAAGGAAAUGCUAUGGAAAACGGAUGAGAUAUGAUUCAUCUCAGAAAUUUAAAUUCAGCAUCAUUACAAACAAAUGUGACUUUUUAUAGUUGAGGGUGGACUUGAGAGCUAUGUUGCUCUGACUAUUCAUUUUUCUAGAAAUACCCAUGCGCAGAACAAGACAGGGGAAUGGGGAGGCGAUCUUCAAAGGGCCCACCAAAUACAUGGAAACCUUUAAAAGAUUGAAUAUAACCUUGUCAAACACAUACCCUUGUUUGACACUCACACCCAAGUCUGAGUAACUUAGCAUAAGAAACUUUUCAAUUUCCUUGAGAAAUCUUGAGACAGCUAAAGAAUCCCACCAUUAUCCACAUAAGAUCUCCAUAGGAGUUGAGAAAUUAAUCCCACUGCCAAGUCUCUUACCUCUAUAGCAUGCAAGCUAUUUGCAAAAGACAUUUCAGGAAGCAAUUACCAUUCUUUUAAAUAAUACAAAAUAAGAACAGGUUCAUAUCCUUAACCAUAUAGCUUACCUCUAUAGAAGGUAAAAGAAGAGCACUAUAACAAGGAUCAGCACCAACCAUUUACAUAACCUCUUGAUCACUCUCCAUCCCCAAUGCUUUCAUGACCACCAUAAUAGGGAUCUAUGAGAAAACAAUACUGAGUAAAACUAAGGUUUAAGAGUGCAACAUGAAUAACUCUUCAGGGAAAAAAUAAGGAAACAUAGAUGAGAAAGUAAGAUGCAACAAGACCUUUUUCACAAAUUGGUUGAGUAACAAAUAUAUCUUCUCUUUGUCCAUCUGAAUAACUGUUUGGCUUUUUAUUGUUUCCGAUAUGCUUGUUACAGAUGCUGUUAUACUGGGGGCAGAGAGCAAAAAAAAAAAAAAGCAAAGAGAAGAUAUUCCAUGCGUAAAAUUCAAGGAUCAAGUAGAACUGACAUAAAUUAGAACAAUGCAAUGGUAGGAAAAUUGAUAGAAAUGGAAACUACUAUAACAAAAUGACAGCUAAACUAAUAUGGCUGAAAAUAGAUGUAUGAUGUAUCAAACAAGUAGAUAUGUCAAUAAAAAUAUUACAGUCCCAAGUUGACACAAUAAGUCCAUUACAAGAUUUAGCUCAUCCUAUAUGCCAAAGUGAAUGCAUAAAUACUUCAUGUUUUGCACACAUAAUAAUAAUAAUAAUAAUAAUAAUAAUAAUAAUAAUAAUAAAGCAAUAUAAAGUUUUACAUGCUAAACUUGCACUGCAUCAAUAGAAGUCAUUGUUCCCUUAUUAACUAUUCCAUGAACUUCAAAACAAAUUUCCAACAAGCAGUCAUGCUAAAUGACCAGAAGCUAGACCAAUGUUAAUUAGUUAUUGCAAAGAAAGCCUUUGAUUUUUUGUAUAAUCAUUUGUAAGCAAUAAAAUAUAUGACAAAUUACACUAUUGACUUUAAGAACAACUAGACGAUAAAUUUUUAAAAGCAGAGUUAUAUAUGGAACCAAGGAAAUUCUAGUAAUGCACAUGAUAAGGGAGUGGAGCGGUCAAUUGUCAGCAAGACAUAAAAAUUUGAAAGAAAACUCACUUUCCCUUGUUGUCUGCAUCAAUAAUUAUCCUAUUCUUGGCUAGCUGUUCACGUAUUGGAAUCAUCUGAAAGCCAUUGGCAGAAUCAUGACAUUACAAUGACAAAGAAGUACCAAGAAACAAAAAAAUAUACAUAACAGAAAAACAAGAGACUACCAAGAGAAGAGAGAAAUAAAAUGCUGUUCCAAUGAAGAAGAAUUUGAAAAGAAAAAGUAUAAAAUAAAUAUGGCAGUCAGUAUGUCUGUUUUGGACAAUUUAAACUCAUAAAGAACAUAAAAAUGUACUCGUCUGAAAAACAAAUGCUUAAAGUGAAAAGCCUAAAACAAUGAUAUGAAUUAUUCUUAAGCUAAAAAUAAUAAAAUUUGAAAUGCAUAUUCUUCUUAUUAGAUUUUAAAGUUGCUGUCUUGUCAUCAUUGAAAUGAAAAGGUAAAAAUAAGAAAUUUCUAAGGAUAAAAAAACCAAAUGGGUUUGGCAUACUUUUAUAUAGGUGUGACUACAUGUAAAUCAUCACUUCAUCCUAGCAAAGUCUUAUCUAACAAUCCACAGAGAAAAAUAAAGAACAUUUUGAUGGGUCCCGUUCAAAAUACUAGAUCACAAGAGGUAAAUCCAGAAAACAAAGAAGAACAGCACCACUAACUUUGUUUUAAUUUUCAUCCAUUCAAUAUAUGAUUCACCAACUUCUUCACUACAAAUUUCUGGCCCAUCAUGAACAUUAUGUAUGACACUUACCGUCCGACUAAAAGCACGUUAUGGUGAAUGAGAGUGUAUAGGUGUGCAUGGAAGUGAAUAAUAAAGCAAAUAGAUAUGUGAAAGAUGGUCCGAAUUACCUUCUCUGCUCCCUUAAUGAUAAAAUACCCACCGGGAUCAAGAGGGCAUUCACCUGAUAUCAGAUAAUGAAAUUCAAAUAUAUAAUAACAAGAAGACAAUUAGAAAAGCAACAGCCAUUAUUUUGAGUUUAAUGAACACAAACCAAGCCUUGCAAGUUCAGCUUCGUCUUUUCCAUAUAACACACAGCGGCAACUUCUUAACAUGAUCGGCAUUCUUCCCAUAACAACAUUUUUCUGCAGGGGACAGAUUUUGUAUUACAUCCAAAGCACCUAUCAUUCUGCAUCAAUCAUCAUACACACAUCAAAGAAGCAUCUCGUGUACCUUUUCUAGUCUAGUUCUCUGCCCAUGACUCUCUUGCAUGUACUCUAUGUCGGCAAAUAUCGGUGCAGCAUACCUUAAAAAUUAACAACAUAUUAAUAAGACAAAACAGAAAAUAUGUAUAACUCACUAUUCCAUAUAAAGUUUUAGUUGUUAAAACACCAAAAAGAAUCAAUUCCACUAAUGCCUAUAUGAAAUAGUUCAACCUGGAAAAUUAUACAUGUAUUUAGAGAAAUCAUUUGUACAUACGUCAUAUCUGCGAGGCGGCAUGUAUGGGGAUUUAUUUUUUCAUAAGUCGUCAUGGAGGGAUUACCAAUUCUAACAUCUUUAAACCUGCACAGCAACACAAGAUACAGUUGAAUUAGAGCAUAGAAAAAAAUCCAAAUACAAAUCAGACCAUAGGAAUAAGGAAACGUAAUUCCCUGUAGAUGGAUGAGUCAUAGCCAGAAUGUCAAGGAACAAACCACUUGCUGUUUUCUCCAUAAAAAAUGUUACUAAAAAGAAAAUUCCUCAUAUUUGAUUGCAACUGAGCAAAUAGUUAAGCAAUAACACAUCCGAAAUUAACAAUUAUGUACAAAAAUUAAAUGUAACACGUGAUCAUUCCAAAAGAACCUUUCUUUUGUUUUUGGUUUUUUUUUUUUGAAGUGUAACAACAACAAUACAAUGAAAGUAGGAAUACAAGUAUGAAUAAACACAAGUAUCAAACUACUGCAUACGGACUGUCUAAAUAAUCACAAUGCAGAAUAAACCAUUGCAUCACAAAUAGACUAAAAAUCGAUACAAUCCAAACUAAAGCAACAAACUCACUGACUAUGACCCAUCCAUGGCAACCAUCGAGAUGAGACUCGGAGACCUACACAUAUAAUUACACAUUGUAGGUCUCAAACUUGAAUGCAUAAGACCCAAUGCCUUCGUCUUUGUUUAAAAAAAUAUUACAUUUUGCUUCACACACACAAUACACACACACACACAAAAAAAAAAAAAAAGAACAGCAGACAUCGGCAAGUUGGCAAAAUAUAUUUUAUAGAAAUCAUAACCAAAAACAUAAACAAAAAUACUUUCAAACCUGAGGUAAAUACCGGGGUCAAUAUAGGAUACAAUCCGGUCGUUGGCACUAACAACCUUCUUGAUUCCAGUAUUAACGAAAUAAUUAAAUGAAUCCAAGUGCUGCUUCACUAACCCUCUAACCUAUAAUAAGAAAAAAAAAAGCCCAAAAUCCAUAAUUCAGUUAAAUAAUAUAAACACCUUCACAUAAAAUAUAUGCCAAAUUAACAUCAAAUCACCUUUAAAAACUCAGGGAGAAGCUGAAACUUGUCAACAACCGAUUUUAUUGGAGCAGCAAGCUUUUGCUUGUCCACUGGUAUCUCAGACAUGUAUAAGCUAUAGGUGUUUCCCAAGAAGCAAAAGACAAAUUAAUCCAAAUCAAAUUAUAUUUCGUUAAACAAUACAGAUAUGAAAGGAAAAACUUACUUAUUGGUGUUGUUAUUGAGAAGUGUAUCUUCUUGCUUGAGUCUCAUUGUAGUUAAAUUUUUGUGGUUUUUUGGAAUUUGAUUUUUUUUUUUAGCAGAACUACAAUGAACCUACUCUGCAGGGUUUGUUUUUAAAACCCUAAAGCUGUCGAUUUAUGGAUGGUGAACUCCUUUUCCUUAUAGAAAAAAUCAAUAAUCACAUUAAAUUACUCGUUAAAUAUCCACGAAUAUAUUCAUACUCGGAUCAAUAUGAAUGUGUAUAAUGAAAAUAAGGAAUUUUGUAUUUAAUAGUGAAACUAUUUGUGCAUUAAUUACGUUUAUUACAAUAAUAUAAAAAAUCAAAUCUUCAACAUUUGAUUCCAUCAUAUACUUUCUUGUAAAAUUGGAGCUCUUUUUAUAGGAAAUCAACUAUUUUAUCGUCAUCUCCAUUAUGGAUGUUUUUCACUUUGUUAAGAAAAUUAUAAUAUCAAAAUAAAAAUAUUUAUAAUUUAAAAGAGUUUUAAAAAAAAAUUUAACAAUUUUUAUACCACUAAACUAAUUUUUUUAAAAAACAUAUUUUUUAUUUAAAUUUAAUGGAUCACCUAUUUUUUAACAAAAUUUAAAUUCAAUUAAAAUUAUAACCAACAUCACAUUGACAAACACACGAUAAAUACACUAAAUAAUAAUCUAAUAAUUAUUUGAAAAUGUAAUAUUUAUGCCAGUUGUUCCUAAAAAAUUCAAGAAAAUAUAAAUAUUUUUAUUUUAGAAAUAUGUUUUCAAAAAUUACUUAAAUAGUAAAAAUAUUAUAUUCUGAAAUUUCUGAAAUUUUUAUUUGUUUUCAUUUUCAAAAUUCUGAGUACUUUAAUGACAUGAAAUCGACUCCCACUUCAUUCAAUCUUUUAUUUUUGGUAACAGAAAAUUUUAAAAAAGUGUUCGAUAAGGGUCAAAACUCAAAAGUAGUAUCAAAGAAAUUGACUAUUUAAAAAAAGAAAUGGCCUCCGAGAGAGCCCAAGAUAUUUCAUAUUUGAGGCAGAGUACAAUUUUGAGAUGGUACAAGUCCUUGUAAUUUUUGUUAAUUUGAAAUUUAAUCAUUGUAAUUUAUUUUUAUAAAUUUAGUCCUUUUACUUUUUAGAUUUAAAAUUUUAAAUCAAAAUGUUAAUAUUGUUAAAAUAUUUUAUUAAAUUUAGGUUUAUUACAAUAUUAUUUUUCAGUUACGUAACUGCCAAGAGAGUAUUUAUUUUAUUCCAAAAUGUCAUACCAACAAAGUUAAUGAAAUAUAUUUAACGAUAAUCUGAAUUUUGAAAUCUAAAAAAGUAAAUAGAUUAAAUCCUUAAAAAUAAAACUAGAAAUAUUAAAUUUCAAAUUUAUGAAGAGUACAAAGAUGGUAAAAGCACCAUGGAGGCCUCUAUACUAGGAGUCGGAUUGCAUUUUACCCUCUCUACUCAAUGAAAUGGACAAAUUAGUCCCUACAUAUUAGAUCAAAAAGUAAUUUAAUUAUUUUAUUAAAAAUUUUAAUCAAUUUUUACUAUUAAAAAUUAACCCUUAUGCAUAAACAUUAGAUAUACGUAGUUUACUAUAUGUUACCGCUUUGUUUUUCAUCAACUAUACUAAUUUUUAACAAUGCAAAAUAAAUAAAUUUUUAAUGGAAAGAAUCGAUUUACUCUUUAAUUAUUUUUAAAUAAAUCAAUCAAAAUAUAAAUUAUCUCGUAAUACAAACAUCAUCUUAAACUUUUGAGAUUGAUUUGUUACUUUGUAAAAUUUGGGGUCUAUUAUUUUCACUUCUCCCACAGCACCUUUUUCCCAAUUCUUUUAUAUGCAAAACGGGUGGUCCAUUCACUUUUUUUUAUUAUUUUUUUGAAGAAAAAUCCUUUUACUUCUUUUAUAUCUGAAUAUAAAAUUCAAUUAUGUUCGUUGGGAAGAUUCGGGAGCUUUCAUAAUUAAUAAUUAAUUAGUGAAAAUAUUUAUUAUGACUUUACUAAAAAAUAAAAAUAAAAAAUUAGUAAAAAGUAACAGCAUAAAGGGGUUACAAAAAAGUAUACCUCUUAAGAAUUAUGAAAGCUCCUUUUAUUAAUUUAAUAGAAGUUUUUAGACCAAAAUUGAAGGUUGUUCAAAAACGACUAAAUUUGGAGGAGUAAGUAUUGCAAGCCUUGCAAUAUGAUCAAUAACCGUUUUUUGAAAUCUAGGAACAUGACGAAUGAGCACCUUCCAUUCACAAUUAAGGACACUAUGAAUUAAACGUAGCUUCACCGUUAUGCUAUUGACAAAUCCACCAGCCAACAAUGAUUCCACUCGAAGUGCAUUGUCACAUCUGACCUCAACCUGUAAAAAUCCUUUUCGCCAUGCAACAUGCAAAUCCUCUAGCACCGUUCUUGCUUCCACCUUGAAAAUAUUAUCCUUACAUAUUCCAAUAGAAAAACCACAUACCCAAAUCGCAUUUGCAUCUUUUAAAGCAUCACUAAUUGAUGCUUGUUGAUUAAUCAAGGACACUACCCCAUUAGUGUUAAGUUUGAACCAUCCACUCUCCGGUGGGGACCAAUGAAGCGUCACCACUAUAGGACUCAACUGUAACACCAAUGACCUGAAUGUAUCAUAAUUCAUUGUCCAUGACAACCCUAUAUCCAACACAUCCUACACACUAAUAUUGCCAUCAGAGAAAACAUAAUGAUUGUGAUUCUUCCACAGUAACCAACAUAAAUUUGAAAAUAGAGUUUGCCAAUCAACAUGUUCUGUAACGACCCGAAAGUUAAUGGUGCCAGAAAGUGUGGUUUUGGGAUCCCAUUUUCGUAAACCAGAUUCGUAAAUAUUUUUAAUAAAUAUUUAUGGAGUUAUUUUAGUAGCGAAUUGAAUUUCCGUUAGGUAUUUUCGUCUAAUUAGUGAUUAAUUUAAGUAUAAGGAUUAAACCGUGUUAGUAUAAAAGUAAGAAUUAUUAUUUAAUUAUAAGGUAAAUUAUAGAUAAGGGACCUAAAAAGAAAAUAUACCUUUGUGUUUUUUAGUUGAAAUGAACUGUCAAGGUAUUAUAAUAUAAUAUAUAUUAUAAAUGUUAUUUAUAUUAAAACUAAUAUAACAUUAUAAUAAAAUAAUGAAUGAAUGAAUAUUAGAUAGUGGAUAGAAAGAGAAGUCAUUUCUCUUUUUAUUUUAUUUUUUAAAUUUUGAAAGGGAAAAGGGCCAAUGGUGAUAAGAGUUUAAGGUUUCAAGCUUUAAUUGCUGACGUCAAUCCAUAUUUCUAGAAAAAGAAGGAAAAAAAGAAGGAAAAAAAUAAAGUCAUCGAUGAAUAAUUUGAAUAUUAUAGUUUAUGAUUCUAUAAUCCAAACUCUUUGUAAAUUGAUGUAUUUUGAAUUGUUUGUGCAUGGUAAGAAAACUAGGUGAGUUGAUGGUGGAAAUGAAAUGGUCUGGACUAAUUAGUUUGAUUUGUGUAUUUGGAUUAAAAUGAAAAUGUAUGAAAAGCGUGCUUAUAUAAUUGUAAAAUUGAGUAUGUAUAUGUAAUUCUCCUCAAAUCAAUAUUUUUUUGAUAAAUUAUACUAUUAGUUACUCAAUUAUUAGUGUGUUUUUGUUUUCAUCUUUAAAUUAUAAAAUUUUCAAUUUUACCACUAAUGUUUUGAACUAUUAAUGUUUUGGUCGCUCUCCAUUAAAACAGUUAAUGAAAGUAAUUAUGUAGCUUUUUUAACUAUUAUAAUAAUACAUUUAAUCAUUAAUGUGUAAACAUUCUAUCAAUUUGAUCCUAAUUCUAAAUAAUUUAGUAAAUUUAACCCUCAACAAUUACAAAUUCUAUCAAAUUGAUAGAAUUUGUAAAUAUAGUGAAUCAAAUUGACCAAUUCAAAAAGUGAAAAUAUUAAAAUUGAUUAAAUUAAAGUAUAGGGACUAAAUCCAAACUUUCGCAAAAUAAAAGGGAUAAUAGCAGAAUUUAACCCUUUCUUUGAUCCUCUCUCCACUUAACAACGUUUAAAGGUCUCUGGUCUAACUAUUUCAAAUUAUUUUUCCCUUUGCUUUGCCUUUUAAGUUGAGAAAAUCCAAUCCGGUGAAAAAGCUUUCUCAAAAUGGUAAUGACAUUGUCAUUGACAUCACCUUAUCCUCUCAGGUCAUUUAUAAGUGUCCUCAGCCUCAGGUCACUCUCUUGCAAAAUCAAUUUGCAAAAAUAGAAGAUAUAAGUCAAAUUGCAGAAGGAAUCCCCCCUCUCCAUCAAACUCUAUACUCAAAUAAAUUUCUCCCUCAAACUCUCUGCCCAAACAAAAGAUGAAAAUAUAGAAGGAGAUGGAGAGAUUUUGAAAUAAAUAUAUAGGACCAAGGGAAAGCGGAAACCUUUUGUUGCAAACCCCUAUUUUCAAGUCACCUUUUAAAACCCUUUAUUCGGUUAAAUAAUAUAAACACCUUAACAUAAAAUAUAUGCCAAAUUAUCAAUUCACCUUUAAAAACUCAGGGAGAAGUUGAAACUUGUCAAUAGCCGAUUUUAUUGGUGCAGCAUGCUUUUGCUCGUCCACUGGUAUAUCGGGCACGUAUAAGCUAUGGGGAUUUCCCAAGAAACAAAAGACAAAAAUUAAUCCAAAUCAAAUUAUAUUUCGUUAAAUAAUACAAAUAUGAAAGGAAAAACUUACUCAUGGGUGUUGUUAUUAAGAAGUGUAUAUUAUUGCUUAAGUCUCAUUGUAGUUAAAAUUUUGUGGUUUUUUUGUAAUUUGGUUUGGUUUUUUUGGUGAAAAAAUAAAAUUACAACCAAUUAAGCUAAAGCACUAGGACAACUAGUAAAUAAUUGUAAUCCUUCGUCCCUUUCAAAGGCCAAUUUAGCCAUUUUAUCAGCUUCUCUAUUAUUAUCUCUUAGAAUAUAUUGUAUGAACCAAUGAUCAACGGUCUUCAAGUGCUGAAAAAUCCGUCUGACAAGCUCCCAAUUGGAAGUCUUCAUUGUGGACUCUUUUAUUGUUUCAAUAACUUCCAUAAUAUCUGUUUUGCAACAAAACUCUGACACGAUGUCUACCCUUGAAGUAGUAGCAAGCCGUCUAAUUACCCCAAAGUUCUGUCUUAAAAAUAGUACCUCUUCCCAAUAAAAAAUUUUAGAAGUAAACAAAUGGAGUCUAUAAUAAACUUACUCUACAAGGUUUAUUUUUAAAACACUAAAACCCUAAAUUUGUAGAAUUAUAGAUGGUGAAUUUGGUCAUCCUAUUGCUAAUCACAGUUUAUAAGAGAACAAGAAGUCAACAAUCACAUUAAAUUACUCAUUGAAUAUGCACGAAUAUAUUCAGAAUCAGAUGAAUAUGCAUGUAUGUAUAAUGAAAAUAAGGAAUUUUGUAUUUUAUAGUGAAAGUAUUUUUGCAUUAAUUACGUUCUUUACAAUAAUAUAAAAGUCAAAUCUUAAAUAUUUGUUUCCUUCCAAUUUUUUCCUAGCAUAAUAAUUCAACAAUGAAAAAGCGCAAUUAUAAAUACUUGAGUUAAUUCUAACUAGAAAGUAGGGUAAAAAGAUAUACACCCAAAAGAAAAUAAUGGAAAGUCUUCAAAGUCUACAGUAGCCUUAAUGGAGUUAAAGAAAAUCCUUGUAAUCGAGAAUGCAAAUGGACCAACUAUAUUGAUCGGAUGAAGCUUGAUUCUUACAUAAAAGCUCAAUUACCAUGCGGCCAACAAUGUUUCUGAUUUACCUAAGUUUCUUAUAACAUUUUAAAAAAAUUGAUAUUGAAUUUAUUAUAUUAUUGGAAAUAAUUUUUAGCAAAUAUGUUAAAUAAUAUAAAAUAUUUUUACACAUAACAAGACAAAUACUAGAAAAUUUUAAUUUUUUCAAGAAAUCAAUUUAUUUUUCGAACGAUAUUUUCAUUUAAACAAAUAUACCUUUAAUUUAAAAUUUUAUUCAAGUUUUUAGAAUUGAGCUUCAGCCAACUAAUAACUUAGGCAAAAAUAAAUCAUACCUACCAUAAAAACAAUUGCCUAAUCAUAAAAGAGCACAAAGAAUGCUAUACAUGUGCCUUCACACAUACAUGCAUGCAUUAUGAUAUCUACGUCCAAGGCUAUUACAAGUUAAUCUUUUAGGUUAAAGUCUUAACCAUGACACUUACAUACAUGCAUGUGCUUUGUUUUGCUGUUGGAUGAACCAAUAGCUUAUUUACGGUAGACCCAUAACCCACUUUCAUGUUCUAAAUGCAGAAAAACAAAUGCAUUUAAAGCUACCAUCCAAAACAAUUCUUAUAUUAUCAUAUCAAGGGGUGUAGCCCGAGAUUAGCCAUGGCGUACGUCAACCACAUCAUAAUUCAAAGGAACCUAUAAAUAUAUCCCUAUUUCCUGGUAUCAUCCAAAUGUAGUGUAUAAUAAGAAAGCUUUGACAAUGGCUCAAUUCAACUGCCACCAUAUCAUAUUUCAUAUCCCUUGCUUUCAUAUGGGGUUGCACAGUUCAGUAGUCUUUAGGCUUUAUAUAUGCCAUAAAGUUUCAACUCUCUUCUUUUUUAUGCUUUCAUAUCCCUUGUUUUCAUAUGGGGUUGCACAGUUCAGUAGUCUUUAGGCUUUAUAUAUGCCAUAAAGUUUCAGCUCUCUUCCUUUUUAUGCUCUCCACUUAACAAUGUCUAUAGGUCUCUUACUGUUUCAAUUUCUUUCUUUGCAAGUAAAGGAAAUCCGAUCCAGUAAAAAAGCUUCUCUCGAAUGGUAUGCCAUCACCGUUCCAAAAAUUUAAAGCAUUUAACCUCAGUUUGACUGCAUUGGAGGUGCAAGUUUCGGACACGGAAAAGGAAGAAAAUCACACACUGGUUUAUCUUUUUGUUUCACCCGAGGUACAUCCCAUGUGAGGCAAAAAACUGAAGAUUUGGGUGGCCUAGAGACAUUGUAUUUAGGGAGCCUGAUUCGAGAGCUGGCAGCUGGGGUUCAGUAUGUAUUUAGGUGCAAGCUCAGUCAUAAAUCCUGAACUCUGGAGCAUGGUUGAUGGUCUGUAAUAAAUGUGGGAUCGUGGUUAAUGACAAUUGAUCUGACUGACAGUCUUCACGUGAAAUUGAAGACUGAACCUAGGAGAAAAAUAAAAGGGAUAUUUACUCAUCAGUUCCUAGAUACUAUUUUUUUUAAAUUAAUUCAUUUAAGUUUUUAUUUGUAUUCCAGUAAUUGCAACUAUUGUUUGUGGUGUUUUGUAUUUAAGUUUGAUUACCAAAUUAAACUUCUUAAGAAAUUGUAUUUUAAAAUAAGAUCAUGAUGAAAUGAAGUUAAUUAAUUUUUUAAAGACAAAAUUUCAGAUGUUUUGGGGGUGUCGACUAUCAAAAUUGAAUAAAAUGUAAAGUAAAAAUAGGAGAAGAGAUGUUGGUUUGAUGACAUCCGUAGAACAUUAAACAAUGUAAUUGGAAUACACUGGUUUUAAACAUUAAAAAAUAAAUCUAAAUAGGCUUAAAAACAAUGUUAUAUAAAUUUGUCCUUUUAAGGUUAAUUUUCUUCUUUUCAGAUGAAUAAAAGUCAGUAAUAAUCUCAAUCUUCUCGCGCAUUCAUGAUCAAGGCUCCAUCAUAUACUUCUUGUAAAAUUGGAAAUCAACUAUUUUAUCCCCAUCUCCAUUAUGGAUGUUUUUCACUAUUAAUCUAUCUAAAGAAAAAGAUAUAAAUUAAAAUUAAAAAAAAAACCUAAAAUCUUUUUUAGGAAUCCGCCACUGCCAACACUUUAAAUUCACCUCUGAAUAAAAUGAAUUAUUAAUAUUAAAUUAUAUGACACCAAUGAUGUGGUGAUAGAAAAUUUUAUUUAAAAUCAAGCAUCAAAGGUUAAAAUUGAAUUCAAAUAAUCUAUUUUUUUACUCCAAUAAUUAAAAUAAUUAAAUUAAAUAUCAAAAUAGAUCACCUUACAAAUUAAUUACCGAAAUGGAUCGUUAAUAAAAUUUUUCAAUACCGCUUGACUAAAAUAUAAUUAGUGAUUAUUUUUAUUAUGUUACAUAAUAGUUAUUUUAGUUUUAAGUAGUAAAAUGUGUGAUUUUAAAUUAGGUUGUUGUGGGUUCAAUUUUCACAUAUAACACUUUAUUUUUUAUUUUUGCUUCAAAAGGUAAAUUCUACUUUAUUAUUAUUUGACAAAAUAUUAUUAUUUGUGGAAAUCAAACCCUCGACCAUAAUUUUAUUGUAGCAUAAUACUUUACUAUAACAACUGUUUUAUAAUAUGAUAAAUAAAAUAAUUAAUUAUAUUGUAAUAUGGUGCCGUCAAUAUGUCAGGCGGCACCAAUAUUUUUUUUUUAAAAUCCAUGUGGUAUCGUCAACUAGUCAAACAGUAUUAAAAAAUAUUAUAGCAAAAUUUGUAGGGUGUGACCCAUUUUGAUAUUUAAUUUUUUUUAAAAAUAUUAUUAAAGUGCCACAAUUUUUAUUUACUAAAUAAAAAAGAAAGAAAGUAUAGCCACCUCCAAUUUUUUAUUUAAGUGUGAUGGCACCUUUAUUUUUUUUAAAACAAAAUUUAAAAUCAAUUAAAAUGUAUAACCAACAUUGACAAACACACAUGAUAAAUACACUAAAUAAUAAUCUAAUAAUUAUUUUAAAAAGUAAUACUUAUGCCUAUUGUUUCUAAAAAAUUAAGAAAAAAUAUAAAUAUUUUUAUUUUAAAGAUAUGUUCACUAAAAUUACUUAAAUAGUAAAAAUAUUAUAUUCUGAAAUUUUUGUUUGUUUUCUUUUUCAAAAUUCUGAGCACUUUAAUGACAUGAAAAUGACUCCCACUUCAAUCUUUCAUUUUUGGUAACAGAAAAGACUGCGGGCAGCGUUUGGUAAGGGCCAAAACUUAAAAGUAGUAUAAAAGAAAUUCACUAUUUUAAAAAAAAUGGUCUGUGAGAGAGCUGACAUAUUUGGGAGGGUUAAAAUAUGUUAUAAACCCUUUUCCCUAUAUUAGAAUCGAGUCCAACGAACGUUGGUUACCUCUUGAGCCAACUAAUAACUUCGCCAAAAACAAAUCAGACCUACCAUAAAAACAAUUGCCUAAUCAUAGAUUAGCACAAAGAAUGUCAUACUUGUGCCUUCACACAUACAUGCAUGCGUUAUGAUGUCUACGUCCAAGGCUAUUACAAGCUAAUCUUUUAGGUUGAUGCCUAAACCAUGAAACAUACAUGCAUGUGCUUUGUUUUGCUGUUGGAUGAACCAACAGCAUAUUUACGGUAGACCCAUAACCCACUUUCAUGUUCUAAAUGCAAACAAACAAAUGCAUUUAAAGCUACCAUCCAAAACAAUUCUUAUAUUAUCAUAUCAAGGGGUGUAGCCCAAGUUUAGCCAUGGCGUACAUCAACCACAUCAUAAUUCAAAGGAACCUAUAAAUAUAUCCCUAUUUCCUGGUAUCAUCCAAAUGUAAAUAGUGUAUAAUAAGAAAGCUUUGACAAUGGCUCAAUUCAAUUGCCACCAUAUCAUAUUUCAUAUCCUUUGCUUUCAUAUGGGGUUGCACAGUUCAGUCUUUAGGCUUUAUCUAUGCCAUAAAGUUUCAACUCUCUUCUUUUUUAUGCUCUCCACUUAACAAUGUCUAUAGGUCUCUUAACUGUUUCAAUUUCUUUCUUUGCAAGUAAAGGAAAUCCGAUCCAGUAAAAAAGCUUCUCUCGAAUGGUAUGCCAUCACCGUACCAAAAAUUUAAAGCAUUUAACCUCAGUUUGACUGCAUUGGAGGUGCAAGUUUCAGACACGGAAAAGGAAGAAAAUCACACACUGGUUUAUCUUUUUGUUUCACCCGAGGUACAUCCCAUGUGAGGCAAAAAACUGAAAAUCUGGGUGGUAUACCUGAAGCAGUUUUAGCCAGUUUUCCGUGGCUUGCAUAAGGGAAUUUGCAUGUUGACGCUCGCUCACACCAUUCUGUGUCCAUAUGGAUCCUUCCAUCUUGUAACACCCCAUUCCAAAAACAGGUAACGAAAUCUUUGGGAUGCCAUUAGCAUCGUCGGGAUAUACUAAAAAUGGUGUUUGUCCAUUUCUGCUACCUACAAUGCCAAAUAAGGGUCAAGUUAAAAAGUUCGAUGGAAAUCUAUUGUGGAAAAAAGCACACCAAAACAUGUUGUAAGGUGCAUUAGUUUGAACUACAAUUCAAAAUUUUGUUAUAGCAGCAUCAAUGGCAUCGAGGAAGUGUCAAAACCAUAUCAUAUACGUCAUGCACUAGAUGAUGUAACUUUAUAUCAAUCUCAAAUAUGCAUAUGGAUGAAAGACAAAAAAGAUUCAAAAUGCAUCUAUAAGAUACUAUAGAAGAUAUUAACUUGAAAAAAGUUGAAGCAGACAAAACGACCACUACCAGUAGUUCAAAAUGUAAGAGCCACUUGGUGAUUAAGCAUCAGCUAGACAACCAUAGAUCACGUAGCAGAAGCAAACCAUAGACACGGGAACGGUCACACAAAACCCCUGACCCCAAAAUCUAAAAGACUAGAAUGCAUGAAAAAUCAUCUCUUCUACCAUAAGCCGCAAGAAAACUAAAAGGAGACAUAGGCAGAAUUUCUGAUGGAAUGUGAUAAGUAAGAAAUAUAAAUGUGCAGUGUAUCAGAGUUUGCAGCCUUUCAAUAUGGAGAAAUUAGACUUCGAUAAAACAAGUGCCACUGAUUUAAGUUUUCACAAUAAAGGAUUCAAGACCUAACAACUACAACUGAUCAAUUUGCUCCUAUAAUGCAAGGGGAUGAGGGAACUUGAUCUACAGUAAAGUUUUUGGAAUAAUAGGUAGCAGAUAUUGCUGAAUAUCAGUCAUGUGUAAUAGUAUGAUAGAGCCAACAUUAUAUAGGUGACUCGUACAAAAUCCAAAAGGGAGACAUUAAUUUUUCUCAAAUCUUACAUUAAAGAACAUUAUAAUUCUUACAUAAUCUGUCAAAGUUAGUUCACUGCCUUACUAUCAAAUCAAGGUUGAAUUUAUGAACAAGAUAAUAAAAGCAGCAGAAAGAAAACGGUAAUAAAAAAAGAUCAAGAUUACCUUCCAUGGGUGUGCAAAGGGAAUGGUAAGUUAAAAAGCAUGCAUCCAAAUCUUUUAAUGUAGAACCUGUAGGUAUUCGGUAUAUGGGAUACCUACAAAGGCAAAAUCAAAGAAAAUGAACACUUGUCGUAAUACCCUUUAAAGAGAAAAGAUCAUAGAGAUCAACAUCAAUUAGUACCAUGCAACCGACAUCCAACUGAUGGGUAGUAAGUCGCAACUUCUUAAUGUAUUCAGGCCAGGAUACUUGCAAGAUAGGUCAAAUAUCUGUAACCCAACAGCAGAAGAGAAUAAAAAUUAAAUAAAAAGCAGUGUCAGUUUAAAAAUAAAACCUAUCUAAUCAAAUAAUAGCAAAUAAAAAUAACUGGCCUUGUCUGCUAAGGCUUCACGACUAUAAGGUGUCUUCUGCUCAAAAAACUCGAACAGUAGGUGAUCUCGAGAGUUCCUGGUUUCACAAUCAUCGCUGGAAAAGCCUUCUUGCAGCAUACAGUUUUCAUCACUUAUAGACAAGCUGCGCACUCGAAAAGGGAUCUCAUUUGUCAAACUGAAUCGACUACACUGUUCCCUAGAAAAUUUAAUGCCUUUCCCUAUCUCAUAAUCACUACUUCCAUCACUACUCGAAUCUCUGUAGUAGUCAUUCUCACUCUCUUCUCCAGCUAGCCUAAUCACACAAGUAAACUUUGUUACAAGUUAAUAUAUUAAACCACUCUCCGUAAGCAGAGUUUUGGAAGCAGUUGCUAUCAUCAAUCUGCACCAGUUAAUCUAAAAAUGCCAAAUAUAGUAUAUAGAUUCUCGUUUUAACAAAUGAUAAUAAAUAAUAAAUAAAAAGACACCAUGCUUUCAUGGAAAGACAAGCAAAUGUCCAAAUGAGAAUAUGGAUCAAAUAAAGCUAUAAUACACUAUAGAAUACAGUUCAGUAUAAAGCAAUGAAAGAUACCAAUCUGCGUAUGGAAAAGAAGAAAUAACACCAAUACCACAACUUGAAAAGCAUAACCAAUAUAGUAAAGCCAAAUACAAUGAUUCUUCCCCCCCUCUAAAAAAACACAGUAAUUAUCAAAUAGAUAGACCGAAACCAGACAAAAUGUAGUGAAAAUAUAUAAGGACGUUGUCUAUCCAGGUAAAAUAUAUGUGGAAUUUACUGCAAAAAAGAUUGCAUAUUUCAAUUGUAACUAAAUUUAAAGGAAAUUUAUAUAACCUUGGCUUAGCAGAUUCACCAUAUAAUUGGAUCCCAGAUAAGUAUGGAACAUAGUAUUGAACUACACCAUCAUUCCCAUCAAGCACAAGAGGCACUCCUGCACCAUAUGCACUCCAUUCCUUGAAAGAUUCCCACAAAUCACCCAAUACAAAGUAAGGCUGAAACUCCACAUCACAAGUCCUCCAUCCCCUCACUGUUGUCUAUACUAAUACAAAAAUCAAACUUCCAUUCAAAUACCAAACAAAAAUGAAGAAAUUUUUAUUCUAAACUAUGUUCAAAUUAGUGAAUUUCCUCAAAUUAUCUAACUACAAACAAAGUUUAUUCCUUACACAUCUAUACAUAACAAACAAUAUAAACAAUAAUGAAACAUUAAUAAAUUUUCUUGUUCUUUCCCAAAAACAUCUUAGCAACUAAACAGGAUCAUUAAAAAGAUGAGAAUCAACCUUGGAAAAAUACUGAGCUGGGACAGAAGGUGUCGUCGACUCCAGGAAUAUUUCAAGGUUACUCCUUGAUACCCUCGAUUCCUCAGAGCUCGGAAUAGUACUUGAAGCCAAAGUCUUCUUGGGAUUAAUAUUCUUCUUAUUAUUAUUAUUAUUAUUAUUAUUACCAGAAGCUAAAUCCUUGCUCUUCGUUAAUGAAGCUGAAGAUUUACUAUUACUUUUUUCAUUAUCUUCCUUAAUAGCUUCUUGUUUUGGCUUUUGCUGUUGCUUCUGGUUUUGAUUUCUUCUAGCUUUUACUGGAAUAUAAAACCGAUCCUCUCCUCUAACUUUCCCGAAUUGCAACCCAGCUCCCAGCAUUCUCACUUUCACCCUUUUAUUUACUCUAAGCAAUCCGUUUGGCUGCCUAGAAAACGAAGGCGAAGACAGAAAGAAAAUACCAAGAAAACAAAAAGAAGUCCAAAAUCAACUGCUUCUUUCUUCAAACACUUUCAAGAACUCAAUUCAACUCCGAUAUGGGUUUGGUGAGAGAAGGUCAAAACUUAAUCAAAUCCUCAAAUCUAGAAAUAUAGGAAAACAUUUAUGGUUUCUUGAAGUUAUUUUUGCAUUUUAUUAGGAAAGAAACAAAUGAACAACCCAAAAAAUUUCUCAGUCAAAGAAUGUAGAAAAUUGGUGAUGACGAGGAGAAAGAAAGGGAUAGUUUGGUUGAAUAGAAAGAGAGAAAGGAAAGGGAAAAUUAGAAAAAGCGUGAAGGAGAGGAAAGGAAGAACUGAAGAUUGAACCACACCGUUUCUUUGUACAGCUUCUUCGACAGCUCAACAACAAGGAAAGUUUUUUGUUAUUUUAAUGGUUUAAUGUGAUAAAUAUAAAAAAGAAUACACAAUAUUUUUAAGAAAAUUAAAUCUUUAGGGUGAAAAAAAAUAAAAUUUAUAAAAAAUUAAUGUAAAAUUAAAUGAGUCAUUAAUAAAAAUAAAAAAAUGAUAACUUUUAGAUGAAAUGUUAAAAUUGAUUCAUUAAAAAUUACAAAAAGUCUUUAUAUUAAGAGUUGUACUCGGAGUCAAAUUACAUCUUAUCUAUUUUACUAAAAAAAUAGGUAAAUUAAUCUUUAUAUAUUAAAUCAAACUAAUCAUUUAUGAUAAAAGAGUUAAAAAUUAAUUUGACUUAUAAAAUUAGCAGAUAAUUAUAUGUGGAGUGCAACGUGUACUCUAUUUUAACAUACAUGAAUUUUUAAUAAUAAAAAUUUAUGAAAUUUUUAACAAAAUAAUAAAUUUUCUCUUUUAUUUAAUAUACAGUAAUCUAUUUUAUUAGUAAACCACAUUUAUGUUCAAAAAAUAAUAAAUAUUUUUCUCAUAAUAUUUCUUACUAAGUAACAAAAUCUAACUUUUAAUAAUUUAUAUGGACUUGUUAUAUUACAUAUUAAAUUAAAAUUUAUUUUAAAAUCUAUUUUCGUUUAAUUAUUUAAACCAAAUUUAAUUAUGGGAUUGGUUGGAUAAAUGGUCGGGAAAACAACACGUGCACAGUGAAAGAGUCGGUAUCACAUGUGCUUUAACCAAAUUUAACAGGUACAGCUUCCUUUCUUCUUCUUUCUUUCCUUCUAAAUCACGUAUAUAUCAUUAAAUUGUAUAAAAACAUUUACUCACUUUUUAAAUUAGUUUAAAGUUGAAAGAGAUAAAUACCUAACCUAUAAAAUCUAGUCAAAAUUUUGAAAAUAAGAGCAAGCAUUUAAAAUGUAUGGCAAUAAAUUAUUUUUUAGUUUACAAACACCUAUUAAUAAUUAUUUAUAAAAUAAAAAAUAUUACAGUAAAAGAAGAUGCUUUUUUUUUCCAAUAAAUUUAAUUUAUAGACAAUUAAUUUAUGGAUUAGACUACUAAUUCAAAAUAAGGUAAAUCAAGUUAAAUCCUUCAAAUUAUUCCCAUGUGGGUGAAACAUACAAUAAAUUUAGUAAAAGAAAUGGGUAAAUUAUUAUUUGGGACUUAAAUUUGACAUAACUUUCAUAUUAGAGCUUAGAUUUUUUUAUUUAAGUUAAUCUCUAAACUUGAUUUUUCUUAUAUUGAAGCUUAAAUUAGGCAAAUAUUCUUACAUUAGAAAUUAAACUUUUAUUUGUUCAAAUUAAUCUAGAAAUUAGUAAUUGUUCUCGUAUUGAAGGCUUGAACUUUAGAGUUUUCAAUGAAAUAUUAAGAAUUAAUUUGGACUAUAAAAAAACUUUAAGCUUCAAUGUAAGAACAAUUGCCAAAUAUAGAAACAAUUUAGGAAUUAUCUUAAAACAAAAAGAAAUAUUUAAACUCUAAUACAAAAAAGUCACCAAAUUCAAAUUCCAAAAAUUAAUUGAACCCGAUGAAAAUCUGUUGAAUUAAAAUUUAUUAUUCUUUCUCUCUUAAUUUGAAUUAUAUAUGCUUAUAAAAUUUUCAUUAUAUUAAUAUAUAAAUGUUUAAUGAGCGUAGGAUUAGUUGUAAGAGAUGGGACCCACACGCUUUGGAUAUUAGUAAAUAAUAAUUUUUUGGGGGAAAAAUAGAAGAUAGGAUUUGUCUGAGUUGAAUGAAUGCUUCAAAUUAGGCAAGUGUUUUGGCCAUCAACCUUUCUGGCCUUUGUUUAUUUUAUUAUAUAUUUUUUUCUUUCCUACAAUAGGUAAUCCUAGACUCUUUUUCUUUCCUACAAAGACUUGAAAUUAUUUAUUGAAAUUUACUUAUUUUCGAUGAGCAAAUUUCUAUUAUCCAUGUGGUGGGAUUUAAUAAUCAUAUUUGGAUAAGCUCAUACCUUGAGUAAUAAACACUUAUUGUAAAUAAGUUUUUCCUGUAUUUGAUUGGUGGAAAGCCAAAUCACAAUUUGUAAAUACCAAAAUAAUUAGUGGUUUGAUAUUAUAGUAUAGAUAAUAUUAAAGUCGCUACCUUAAUAAACUUAAUGGGCCAUUUAUAAUUAUUGAAUUAUAAAGAAAACCAAUAAUGAAUUUUGACAAGCUUUAUUUUUUUUUUAAGCAUUUGUCAAGCUCAUUAUCAAAAGGAUUUUGGCCUUUGGGACCUAAAAAUUUAUUGAACACAACUUGGCAAUUGGGAGUGUUCUGCGGACAGCAAGGAUCCACAGAAUUAAGGUUCUCAAUCAUUCCAAAUAGAUUAUACAUUUGAAAAUGUUAGAAGUUAGAUCUUUGGGAGAAAUUUUUAAAAUGUUAGAAAUUAAAUCUUUUGGGAGAAAUUUUUAAAGUGUUGUUUAUUAAAAGAUCGAUUUAAUUUCUUAAUAAUUGAAAGUAUUAUCCCCCAAAGAGUAUUAUGUCUCUUGUGCUCUAAGAGCCUACAUGCUAUAAGCAGAUGUCCUAAGGAUUUGGUUCAUAGAGUUGGGAGUACCUCAACUAUACGUGGCCCAAGCGAUAUCAAAUUCCUCAACAAAUGACCUAUAUGCUAUAAAUCAGAGGUUCAAACCCCACCAAGGGCAAGAUGCUCACGUCGCAUUGGUGGAUGGUUGUACGUCCUCAUACUGUCAAGACACUCCUAACUCUAUGAACCAAGCCUUUGGGGUAAUUGCUCACAACAAUGAUUAAUUUUCAUAAUAUUAUCCUAUAAAAUAUAUUAUUAGAUUAAUUAACUUUAUUAAUUUCUAACAUAUUUAGAAUAUAUUAAAAUUUUAACUAAAACUCAAACCUAACCCAAUUCUUUUAAAUUUGUUGAGAUCAACGUUGACUGAUUAAUUAGUUGAUUGGUUAAAAUCAGUUUUCCAAUUUUCUGACUACUCUCCUUUACCUCUUUAAAUAUGUGAUUUUUAUUAAGUCCAAGUUGAUGAGAUCAAAGAUUAUAUCAGACAUAAGAAAAAAAAAAAAAAAAGAAGUUUCAUACGUGGCUGACUGCUAGGGAUUAAAAUUGCUAAUAUUCCAUAGUCUGAGACCUUGCCUGCCCCCACAGUAUUAUUGGGCUCUAUGUAUUAACAAGCGGGUCCUAUAAGUAUAAUUCACGAAGCCGAUAAAAGGUUUAAAAAAAUAACCUAAUCCAAUCCAACUAUUGAAAAUAACCAUAAAUGAAGAAAAAAAUAAAAAGAAUAAACAUAUAUUAAUUUAAUAAAAAAAUAAAACGAAGUAAUAUUUUUAUAUAGUUAUAUACAUGCAUCUUAGUCUCAUCAAUUCGGUGAAGCUAGUAAAUUUUUUAGAAGUCAAAAUUAAAUUGUAAUUUUUAUGAUAAUAAUAAUAUAAUUUUAUUAUUUUAGUAAUUUAUAUAUUUAUAAUUUUUAAAAAAUUAAAUUAAAAUUUUAUUUUUUUAAGAGAAUAAAAUAUAAUUUUAUUUUUAUUAAUUUAAAUUUUUAAAAAUAUUCUAUUUUAGAGUUACAAAUUACAAAAUGCAAAUCAAUGCAACCAAAGUGACCACCAACCAUUAUUUGUGGACUCUUAUUAUAUAUCGCUUCAUAAAUAUAUCUCUACAUAUUGCAUUUUCAUUAAGUGUAAGCAGAUGAUUGGCUAGUUAAACACAAUUAAUUUUCUUUCCAAAGCCACCAAAAAGAAAUGAUUUGAGGGAAAAAGGAGUAAGUGGACACUUCCACUGAUUUCUUAUCAUUCUUAAAGCUAAUAACACUUGGGGGAGAUCAUACAUAAAAAAAAAAGUGGAUUUGGAAUUAUAUUCUAUUUUCUAAAACAAAAACCAUUCUAUUUGGUCAUGCUUUUGUAUGAUAGUAUCGUGUUUAUAUAGAAUACUAUUAUUCUUGAUGUAAUUGUUAUUUUCUUCUUCUUUUAAGUGGGAAAUGUUGCAAGAAAAUUAAAAUUUUGGAACCUUUUUCCAUUAACAUUAUAAGUUCUUUUUAAUAUAAAAGUUUUAUAAAGGAGAGAAAAUGUAAUAUGUCUUACAUUUUUAUUAUAUUUAGUAAAUUUAUUUUGUAUAUAUCAAUUUCAUUUAUUAAAGCUAUAAAUUAGAUUCGCAUUCUAAGAUUUCGCUGACUCAAAUCAUGUGGGUCAUAUCCUUACUUGAUAUAAACAAAACACUUGUCAAUUAUAAGUCGAAUUGUAAGCUGCAACUCACCUGCUUGAAGUCGAAAUCAUUAAUAAUUAUUGGUUAGCCGUAUGAUAGUGUUUACAAACCUUACAUGCAUUAUCGUCACAUUAUAUAUCAUCACACUAUAUAUAUGGAUCUUAAAAGAUUGAUUAUGCUCAAAUGAGUAAGAAACUAAUAUGAGAAUAGCACAUGGCAUCACAAUAAGCACAUGCCAUCACUCACAUAUAUUAAAACUAGAUUUUAUUUAUUUUUUUGCUAUUUUUCUUCUUUCUCUCGAACUCUCAUCCUAUUAAUGAAUCAACCAUUUAUAAUUUUUUUUACUUGUUAAGUGAACCAUCACGAAUCCACCGCUUAAACAAUAUAUCAAUAAAUUUAAAUCAAUUUUAUUAAAUAUUAUUGUUUUAAUUGUAACUGUACAAAUGACUAAAUCACACAACUAAAUCCAUACAAUCUUUUUUUAUGAGUAGAGGAUUCACUGUCUUUAGUAGUGAUGACUUUUUCUUUCUAAAACAUUGUCUUUCAGGGUUUUUUUUCACUAGCAUAUAUGUGAAAUAUUUGCUUUCAUUGGGGAUAAGAUUUCUAUAUAAGUAUAUAUAAACCUUGGUUUGAGAGUAAUUAAAUAGUUACUAAGAACAAACAGAUUUAACAUUUAAGUGGACAUCACUUUAAUCCAAAAGGUAGAUAAAGGGAUCCAUCGAGAGUAACCCCACUUGUCAUAGCUUGAAACCUAACCAAAGAUCCAUGUGUGGCUUUCUCCACCGUCCAAUAGAACAAAUUGGGUAAAAUUACCAACAAGAUGAUUAUAUUAAGAGUUAGAUUGUAUUUUGAUCUUUUUAUUAAAAAAUAGACAAAUUAGUCCUUGUACGUUAGAUUAAAGAGUAAAUUGGUUAUUUUGUUAAAAUUUUCAUCAAUUUUUACUGUUUAAAACCGAUACAUGUACAUCAGCAUGAUGUAUACAUGUGUGUCACUAUUUAAUUAUUUUGUUAACCACACCAGUUUUUAAUAGUACAAAUUGAUGAUAUUUUUAAUAGAAAUGACCAAUUUACACUUUGAUUUAACUUUCAGGGAUUAAUUUGCCCUAUUUUGUAAGUAGAGAAGGUGAAAUACAAUCUAACUCUUAGUACAAAUACUUUAUGGUACUUUUACCAAUAAAUCGAAUAUGAGAUAUUUAUAAAUCUAUUUCAUUAUUGUUCAAUCAAUAUAUUAUUUAAUUUUUGGAGAGUGUUCACAAAUUAUCAUUUAAUUAAUAAAAGACAGAUAAAUUUUAAUAUUUUGAAUAGUAAAAUAAACAUUUAAAAGUUCAAUAGAUCAAAUUUGCUAAUAUAAAAAAGUAAGUUGAAGGUUAAAGACAGUUUAUUCAAAUGAGUGAAAGACGUACAAAAUUUGUUGGAGAAUGAUGGAGAGGUAGCUUGAAGGGGAAAGGUAGUUGGUGUUUGGUUUAGAUCAUGUGUGCAUGGUGUUGAUGUUCGUCAACCCAAGGAUAUUUGAAGAGUCUCUCCAAGAUCGAGAGCUUAUCCACAAGUUCUGAAAACUAUGAAGGUCUUGUCAACAUAAUUUCUUACGAUCAGGUUGAGAGUUAAAUUAUAUAAAAAGUUAUGUAAAAAACACAUAAGAGAUAAGCCAUUGCAGUUACACGAUAUUAAAUAUUAUUGUCCUUUAUUAUUUGUUGACGAAAUUUUCCAAAAAUAUUUUAAACAUAUAAUAAAGUUGAUUUUUAUAUAAUAUUAAAUGUAGGGAAUGGGGUAAUAUAAUUCGAGUUCAUAUUGAUAAAAAUUUUAAUCAUCAUUCUAUUUAAUAUUUUUUGAUGUUACAAUUUAUAGAUUUGUUUUUUUUAUCUCAAGUAUUAAUAUUUUUGGAACAUUAAAUGAUGACUCGAUAGUAAACAAUUACUCAACUUUUACAUGUACUUAUUUGUUCAAUUAUUUAUUUAUGUCGUUCUAAACUUUUGCAUGUCUUUAUUUGAAGACACUUUAUCUUAGAUAAAUUAGUACCAUAUAUAAUAUAAUCCCUUUAACCUUUUUGCCUAAUGUAGAUAGAAGAUCCUUGAGUGGGCGGCAUCAUAUUUAAACUUUGCAAUAGUGGGAGAAAAGUGGGAAAGAGAUUUUUUUUUUUUUGGUAUCUAUUUGACUCGAAUUAUUAUUUAUUAAUAAAAAUAUUUUAAUUAUAAUUUAAUUAAUUUCAAAUGAAGAAAGUGAUAAUUUAAUGGAGAAAACAUUUGCCCUACAAAUACUCAACACAUGGACCAAAACUAAUCGAGUAAUAUGGAAAGAAAAUUUUAACUAUUAUUACAUUGGUGAUAAGAGUAGAGUAUAAUAUAUAUAUGUGUUUAUAAAAGAAUUAAAUGAGAUUGUGACAAUGAUGAAUCCAACGUUUAUAAAACGAGGUUGGUGGACAAAUUCAUCCUAUUAUUAAUAUUUUUUUUUUGCGUUUGGAAUUAAAUUGUAUAUUUUUUUACAAUAAUUGAAAUAUAAUUUUAUUAUUUUAAUAGUUUAUAUAUUUUUAAUUUUUAAAAUAUUAUAUAAAAAAUAUUAUUUUUGAGGUCAAAGUGUAAUUUUAUUACACGCUCACUUAAAAUUUUAUAAAUUUCAAUGGAUUAAAAAUGAUAUUUCUCAUUUUAAAGGGCCUGGGACCCUGGCCAGCCCCUAGUGUCACCAUUGACUGAAAAUUCAAGCCAAAGUAGAUAUCAUCUAAGAAUAUCAUAUAAUUGUGGUUUUUUAAAUGUCAUUGACAAUAUUUAAAUCUAUGUCUAAGAUACAUUCCAAUUGUUUAGAUCAUUAAAUGAUCAAACAUUCUUAGAGUAAAACUAUAAUAUCUUCCUAUUUAAGAAUUUAUAAAUUUAUUGAUAAUUUAAAUUUUGUAUAAAAAAUAUUAAAAAAAGUAUAUAAAAAUAAAAAUUUAAUUCAAUAAACAACUAGAUUUUUAAUUUUUUAUUAUAAAAUUAGAUAAAAAACUAUUGAAUUAUGAUAAUUGUAAAUAGUAACAUUCUAUAUAACAAAUUUAGUUCGUCGAACCUUAUAUAUACCAUUUAUCCUUUAUAUAUAAAUAUAAAAGGUUAUUGAUUGAGUAGAUAUUGAAAAUUAUUAAUUUAAUAAAUUACUCGUGUUUGUUAAUUGAUUUUAUUUAUUUAAUAAAAAAUAAUUAGUCACUCGUGUAUAUUCAACUUUUUAACUUUCUUUCUAAUCACAUCGUUAUUUAGGAGGGUAACAAAUUUGAGCAAUGAUAAAGGGGAAUGUGUUGUACAAAUGAAAACACGAGUUCAACUCGUGAGAGCGCGGGUAACUAAUAUGCGCCACACGUCUUUUUUGUGCUCUCUAAAUCCCAAUCUUCAUUUCAUUCAGACAACAUUAAUAUGACAAUUUCAUCAUGCUUUUCCUUUUUAUUAUUUAAAUUUUUAUUUAUUUUCAAAACGUAAAAUAGUAGCAUUAAUUAAGGAAAUAUUAUUGAAUAUAAAUUGCGUGAAAAUAGUUUAUGUGAAAAAUAUAUGUAUUUAAAUAGUUCAUCUUUGAUUUAAUCAUUGAUUACUUAAUAUUAUUUUAUAAAAAUAUUAUAAUAUUUAUUAUCUUUUAAAAAUUUUAAAUUAAUAUUUGACUGAGUUAGUGUUCGAUAUGAUACCGACUUAGUAAAGAGUUUUAGGGAUAAAUAUUAAAUCUAUAUAUUUAUUUAUUUUAUAUGUACAAUUGAAUUAAAAUAAAAAAAUUAUAUAUAUACAUGAAUUUAUAAUACAUGAUCCUCUAUGGUACUUUCACCAUAUUAUAAAUAUAAAAUUUCAAAUACAUUAAAUUUAUUUAAAAAUUAUGAAUUAAAAUUAGAAUUUCAUCUUUUAAAUAUACUGCAUUAGUUAUUAGCAAAUGAUAGUAAUAUUUUAAGGAUAAUUAUACUUUAGAAAAAAUAGACACGUGUGAUCUACGAACUUUGGAAUUUUUUAUUAUUAAGGGUAUAAUAAACUUGUGAGGAUAAGAACGCUACAUAUUUCAUUUUCUUCUUGUUUAUUAUACCCUUAAUAAUAGACACGGUUAAUCGAUUGGUUAACUGAAUUAAUUCAGUCAAAGGUCGGUUAAUAAUUUUUUGGAAGUUUAGUUAACAAUUAAUUCGGUUCGAAAUCGAUCUGUUAAUCGAAUUAACUGAACUUAAUAAAUAAUAUUAUAAUAUAUAAGUAUUCGGUUGGGGUCUGUUGGUUUGAUUAAUUUUUUUAAUGUAUAAAUUAAUCGGUUGAUUAAUUCGGUUAAUUUUUUUUAUAUAUUCUAUAAUUGUUUUAACUAAAAAUCAAAAAAAUAUAAAUUUCGGUUAAUUUGGUUAAUCGACCGAAUUAACAGAAAAAAUUCAAUUCGGUUAUUUGUUUUUGAAAAAAUUUCGCUUCGGUUAACGAUUAAAGGUUUAAAAAUAUCGAUUAAUUCAGUUAAUAACAGUUCAGGUCAAUUAACUGAUUAGUUAACCAAUCGAACACCCUUAAUAUAGCAAACAAAUAAUCCAAAUAUCUUCAAAUAUUACCUAUAUGUAAUGCGAUUUAAACUAUAAUAAUUUUUAAAAAAAAAGUCAUGACUUAAACUCAGACCAUCAAUAUUCCUAAACCUUAAUCUAAUUAGAAUAAUCAAAGCUUCGUUAGCAACUAAUAUCAAAUUUAAGAAUUUGGUUUAAAUUCAAAAAUUUCGGUGGAAGAUUGAAUUUGAAUUAAUUGCUCUUUGAAAAAACAUAAAAUUAAACCAAAUUAAACAUAUAGUAAAAACAAACUAUAUAAAGAUCCGAAAAUUCUCAUACACAUUUUCUAUAUAUAUUUUAAAAUUUAUGUAUUUAAAAAAAAUAUUUUCGAUUUUUAAUUUUCAGAAUUAAGAUCAAAUUAAUAAAAUGUUUAAAUAUUAAAGGUUAAAUUUAUUGAAAAUUUUAAAAUCGGGACUAAAUAAACAAAGUGAUUAAAUAUUAAAGACUAAAUUUGUUAUUAUACUAGAUUAUGUUAAUAUUUUAUUUGGUAACCAAACACAUUUUAACGAUAAAAUGAUUAAAAUAUAAAAUAAUUUAAUUAAAGUGACUAAAUUAAUAAAAUAAUCGAUAAUCAAAAUAGAAAUGCGAUUAAACUUAAAUCACUAUCUAAGUAAUUUACCUUGUAUUUAUAAUUAAAAAAAGCUCGAGACUACUGAAAUUAAAAUGAUUAAAAAAACAUUGGGAAAAUUUGAUUCCAUAAUCCAAACCUUUACAUCUUGGAACAACCUUUUUCAUCCUUUUCACUCGCCUUAUCCUUAAGUGGUCUCAUAAUAAGAAGACAAAAUAUUUUGCCUUUAAAAAAAAAAAAAAGAGAAAAGUAAAAAACUAAUGAAACAAAAACAAUAGAGAAGCCUCUAGGACCUAGGUUUAUUCAUCAACCUCUUAUCACAUUCCACGUAGAGAAACUCACGUGAUCCAGAAAAAGACUUAUGGGUAAACUGCACCUAAAGUCACUAAACUAUUAGUAAGUUUAUAUUUUAGUAACUUAACUUUUAAAAAUUUAAAAAUAUCAUUAAACUGUUCGAAAUUUUUUAUUUAAGUCACUAGGUUGUUAAAAAUGUUGUUACUUUGCCUUUUCUAUUUGCACCACCUACACUAAUCAAAAGCUCUCAUCCUCCUUUUAUUUUGCAGUUUAAUUUUUUUAUGAAACAACUUUGAAUAUCACGAAUUUACGAAUUAAAAUUCAAAUAGUUUCUUCUCUGAUAUCUGACACUAACCGUCAGAUUGAUUAGAUCUAAGGAAUAUUUUUCCACUCGUCUAUGGGUAAUAAUCAACUCUAUAGAUUGUUGAAUCAUCGCUUAUAGCUCGCUAACAGAUUUAAAAAAGAUACUUAGCAACUCAGUGACUUAAAUUAAAAAAUGCAAAUAGUUUAGUGUUUUAAAUAAAAACUUUUGAAUAGUUCAGUGACUUAAAUGAAAACUUUCAAAUAGUUCAAUGAUCAUUUUGUAACCUUUAAGAGUAAAAUGACCAAAACGUAAAUUUAUUAAUAAUUUAGUGACCUUAGGUGAAAUUUACCCAAGACUGAUAGAACAAUCCAGCGUGGCAAAUCACGCCACGUGGCACCAACGAGGGUAUAAAAACGACCACAUUCCCCCACAUUCUUAUCACACCCCGGUCUUAAACAUGGAACACCCUGCCUCGAGCCUUUCGUUCCCUCUCAUCUCCCGUUGAAAAUCUCAAACCAAAUACCAAACGAAACAAAACCCGGAAAUAUAUAUUAUUACGAAGAAGACAAAUAACAAAUAAAGAAAAAAAAUUAAAACAGCAGCAAGCAAUUGAAGGGCGAAGGAGGUAUUAGUUUAACGGAGAAGAACGGAGAAAGUCAAAGGAGCCAAGAGUUUUCAAAUGGCGAUUCCUAUACCGGAAUUGCGACGUGGAGACGAAGCGGUGGUGGUAUCUUCCGGCACGGUGAAACCGCCGCCAUUUGGAGGUUUGUCGGAGGAGAGUGAAGAGAAGUCUCCGAUUUUGAUAUUCUUGUUGUUUCAUAAGGCGGUGCGGAAUGAGCUGGAUGCGCUUCACCGUUUGGCUUUGGCGUUUGCUACGGGAAACAGUGUUGAUAUUCAAUCGCUGUUUCAACGGUACGGUUUCUUCAGAUCGAUUUAUAGGCAACACUCUGUUGCCGAAGAUGAGGUACUCUUUUCUUUUUGCUCUUAAUUUUGUUAGAAUUUUCGAAUGCUCUGGUUGUUUCGGCAAGAGAGUUUUGAAAAUUUGAACAACUUGUUUUUCUUUUAUUUUUGAAUUUGGUGAAUUUUGGAUAGUAUUUUUAGUAAAUCAUUGGAAUUUAUGUCUCUACACGCCUAAGUAUGUACGUGGACGACUGCCUGUUUGUACACCGUUUCAUUUUAGUUUAUUAAUUUCAAUACUUGAGUUAAUAUUUUUCUUUGCUUGGUUCUUGGAAAUUACGAAGGAAUUAAUCAUUUAAUUGCGAUUUUUUUCUCUUGUUUCGAAUUGGAGUGCAUUCGUCGCAUUUCAGUCUUUUUUUCCUUUAGCAGUGAAAAAAGGAAAAGAAUAUAUUUUGAUUUGUAAUCAGCUAUGUUUUAUUUAUAAGCAUUUUGACUGUCGGUUGGUGGUUUUACUGGAGUCAUUUUUUUCUUAUGGAAUUGAUUUUAGUAUUAAUUUUCGAUUUCCCUAACUUCAUGACAAGUACUUCUGCUUCUUUUCAGAGGAUUGUACUUGUAGAUAAGUUAUUGGGGGGAAAAAACCUUAGUGGAAUGCUUUUUCACUAAUGAUGCUAUAUAUAUUCUUGGUUUUGUUUUAAAUUCUAAUAAUUUCGGUGAAGAAUGUUGAAAUUUUAUUUUUCUAAAACUUGAAACAUGAUAAGUUGAACUUGUGUUGAUAUAUUGAAUUGAGUAUUUGCAAAAUGUACCAAUGUAGGAUGCUAUGAGUCUAACAGAGGCAAGCUUGUGAAUUUUCUUUUUUAGUUGCAAAACAAGUUUCAGUUGCAAAACAAGUUUCAGUUGCCACUUUUACUUCUAGAAGAGCAUCACAGUUUGGAAUAUUAUAAUUAUUGCAAGUUAGAGGCAAACAUUUUUGGUUUAGAAUAAUUUCCUUGCUAAGAUGUUUCUCCAUCAAUGGCUCUGCAAAAAAAAAAAUGUUUUGUUUUUACUGAUCUAAGCAUACCAUUCAAAGAGUGUGCAUCUAUAACUGAAAAGAAAAAUUAUUAAUAUCUGGUUUAUCUGAAAUUUGAUUGCUCCUUCCAUUGGAUCUUCUAUCUUUUAUUUUUUGGUAGUGUGACAACUAAAAGUUUCUGAACUUGCAAUGUAAUCUUUGAAACUGAAAGUUCUGGUACCUCCUGCUUGCAUUUUGUUUUUUGAGAGAAGUGGUAGGAUGCUCUCCUGAUGUUAUCAGGCAAUAUGCAUGACCAUGGUUACUUAAUACCAACUGUUAGCUGCAAUUCUAAGAUUUCAAUUUUGAUUCCUGGAAGCAGUCUAGUGCAUUCUUUGUUUCCUCAUCUUUCUACUAUAUCAGAAAUUUUACAGCAUAUGGAUUUGAAAUGCAGGUUAUUUUUCCAGCCCUUGAUAUACGUGUAAAAAAUGUGGCAAAAACUUACUCCCUUGAACACAAAGGUGAAAGCAACCUUUUUGAUCAUCUAUUUGAGCUUUUAAGUUCUUAUACGGAAGAUGAUGAGAGCUUCCCAAAGGAGUUAGCUUCUUGUACAGGGGCCCUUCGAACAUCAAUUAGUCAGCAUAUGGACAAAGAAGAGGAACAGGUAUGAGCUUAUGUAGUGUUGCUUUUCUAUUUCAGAAUUUAUGCGAUGUAUUGAACAAAUUCCUUGCUUAGGGUAUCCUAAAUAUAACUAAGAUAAAAGAUCCACACAUUUCUUUUGUGCUUGACAACUGCUUUUCAUGUGUUCAAUUUCAAAAGAACUAGUGCGUGCAUAGUUGUUUUUAACCUGAUAAGUUAGCUUCUUUUUAUUGUGGUGUGCAUGCUCCUUUGUUAUAAACAAUUAGUCUUUCUCUCAAUUUUAGUUUUUUUUUUCUUUUUACUUGGUAGCUUACUUCAUUUAAUUAUUUCUGAUUAUUGUUUACCAUGUUUUAUUGACAGUGUUUUAAAUUAUGCACAAUUUGAGGCUUGAUUUGACAAAUGUAUUGAAAAGUGCAUUUCUUUUAUAUGUUAUGAAUCUGCAUGGGACUAAUGAGUAAAUUGUUUUUCUCCCCCAAGUGCUGUAUCUAUGACAUAUAUAUCAACAGAUAUCCAAUACUUUUGUGCAAGUUGGUUAGGCUGUAUUGAUUUUUCUCCAAGAAUUAUUCAGUUUCAUGCUUUUAAUGCUCUAUGUUCAAUUUAACUUACUGGAUAUGCAGCUGCUCUAUUGUUUUUGACAUGUUAAAUUCCCAAGCUAUGCAAAGAAGAGGCCAAUUUGAUAUUAUAAUUCUUUUUGCUUCACAAAGCAUGAAUUUUAAACAGCUACAGAUCCAUUGCAAUAGUUAUUCCCUUAUCAUCUGAAGCUAAUUCUCUCGACAUGAGUCAGUUGUCUUCUCUCUUUAUUGUUUUAAUCAUCAAACCAGAAGACCACAUGUGCUAUAAUAGGGCUGUAUUUUCGGGUUACAUGGUAUUCUCUUUGAAUAUGACAGGUUUUUCCCUUGCUUAUUGAAAAGUUCUCUCUUGAAGAGCAAGCAUCGCUAGUCUGGCAGUUUUUAUGCAGCAUUCCUGUGAAUAUGGUGGCGGAGUUCCUUCCGUGGCUUUCAUCAUUUCUCUCACCUGAUGAAUAUCAGGACAUGCAGAAGUGCUUAAGCAAAAUAGUUCCAGAAGAAAAGCUUCUGCAGCAGGCAAGAUUUCUAUUUUCACCAAACCAUUUAUAUAUUUUGGACAAUUUUUUAUGAGCUUCCUAAGUGUUAAUUCUUUACUUUUAAAGGUUAUCUUUACAUGGAUGGAAGGGAGAAAUGAUGCUAACUUAUUAGGAAAAUAUCAUUUAGAUUCUCCGGAUGGCUUAAGCCAGUCAUUGGACAGUAGAACCUGUCCUUGUGAGUUACCAAAGACCGGCAAAAGAAAAUAUUUGGAGCCUGGUAGUAUUCUUUCUGAGACGGAUGGCACUCAUCCAUUGAAUGAAAUAUUGCUUUGGCAUAAUGCUAUUAAGAGAGAGUUGACUGAGAUAGCUGAGGAGGCUAGGAAGAUUCAACUUUCUGGGGAUUUUGUUGAUCUAUCAGUCUUUAAUGAACGAUUGCAAUUUAUUGCUGAGGUUUGCAUCUUUCACAGGUAUUUUUCUUGUAAUCUUUUUGUUUUUGUACUAGUUUCUCCGCUUACUAAUAAAUUCUACCUUAAAAAUCCACUGGGUCUAACUUUCUACAUUUGCCCCAGAGAAGUUAUCGCAAGCAUCCAGCCUAUUAUGCCUUGAAAAUUAUUUUUUCCUUUAAUUUAAUAUAUAUUCCUUUUAAAACUCAUUAAUCAUUUUAUUUAAAAUAAAAUUAAAUAUAAAUUCUAUUAUCAAAAUGAGUUCCCGCAUUAGCAUAAAAAAUAUUUGAAGAUCAAUCUAAAUAUGAAUAGUAUAUGUUCCCAGGUCAGAGCAAUCUAAAGCUGUCCCCCUGCCAUUGCAUUUUUUUCUGUAAAAGCCCUCCCCUCCUUUCUUCAGCUCCCAUCUCAAAAAAAGUAAAAUAAAAUAAAUAAAUAAAAGAUCCUGCCAGGGCAAGGGGGAUUGCUAGUUUUGCUGUAUACUUGUUUGCUUAUAUUUUAAGCAGGAAAUUGAUGAUCGGAUUGCUCUAUUAUGAAGUAUUGCAGAGGACAAGGUAAUAUUCCCUGCAGUUGAUGAAGAACUGUCUUUCAUCCAAGAGCAUGCUGAAGAAGAAAGCCAAUUCAAUGACUUUAGGUGUUUGAUUGAAAGUAUUCAAAAUGCAGGAGCAGUUUCUACUUCAGCUGCUGAAUUUUAUUCCAAGUUAUGUGAGCAUGCUGAUCAAAUAAUGGAAACUAUAAUGACUCAUUUCCAUAAUGAGGAAGUUCAGGUGAGCUUUUUUUUUUGGGGGGGGGGGUGUUCAGUAGGUGCUCUGGUAAAACAUGAAGUUUUAUAUUCCUGAACUGUCCCAACUGCACAUAACUACACAGCCAUAUAUGCAUACACCCACAUCACCUGGGAAGGAGAAAAAAAAAAGGGGUGGGGGGUGGAGAUGAAGGAGAGAGGCUGUCGGGUCCUAGACAAUAUGUGGAAGUGCUAUAUGACAAUAUUCUAUGAUUUAUUUA
rnacentral:lncRNA from 1 species